AUGAGUUUUAAAACAGGACAAAGAACUAGCGAUCCAAAAUGUUAAUGCAUGGAUAGAACAUAAAGCAUUUUAUUUGACCUCUCAAAGUGCAAUCAACAGAUAAUGAACAUUUCGUUUGAUUUCACCAGUAUCUACGUCUCCAGUUUAUUUUUUCUGAAGAGCCAAGCUGAGCCAUCGAUUAUGACUAAAAGAUUUUCAGCAUCCUAAUUAUGAACUGAAUUCAAUACUCAUACAAAAAUCCAGUAACUAAAUCAAUCGUGCAUAAAAUCAUGCCAAUUUCUGAAAGAUAUUAAACAUUACACGGUUGAAAGGAACUAGUACAUCUUAUAUUCAUUUCUGAAUUUAAAAGACUGAAAAGUCAUUUUUUUACGUUACAAUUCAACUUGCCACUUAUCGAGCGUAUUUGGCAUGUAAAAUUCUAAUUAACCUUAAUUUCAAAAAUCCAGACAUUCCGCAGCUUCCACAAUAUCACAGAGACUACACUAAAUGACUCAAAUGACUAGAAUGGAAUUGAAAUCUGUGAGAUAUAUCUUCUAAACAACCAACAACCAUAUGAGUUCAAACCAACUGCAAUAAAACCUUAUAAAUUCUUGAACAUCAAACAGAGUUUCACUUUCUUUAAUUCUGAUUCCAUAACUAACUUGAACAAUCAAUGCAAGCAUAUUCAUCAUAGUAUUAAACAGAAAUAGGGAGGACAAGAAGAAUUUGAGGCUUAGGCAACCCGAUCCAAGAUCGUACACGACUUUUGACAUGAGCUCAUUAGUUUUCCAUUCAUAAACUCAAUGUAGAAGAGAAACGAUUUGCGAACCUAUUGGGACAAGAAAGUGGACUCAAACAAAUAAAGUCUGAAGUUGUAGAGAUAGAACUCAACAAAGUUGAGACUCAGUGUUUACAGCCGAGUCGAAAAAGUUAUCACAAAACAAAUAGCACUAAAUUAGGAGACCUACAAUAUAGUUGCAAUGUUAACAAUACGCUCGGUCCGAUUUAACGAUGAAAGAAGAGGAAAACAGAACUUUGUGAAUUCUAUUAAACCUCUAGUUUCAAUUGGGACAUAAUUCACUUAUAGCCUUAACACUGAUAAGAAUCACGUCCAGUAAUAAUAUUUUUUAACCAAACUUCAACAACUCACACAUGAUGUUGUUACCCCAGUAAUGACAUCAAAUGGCAGACUAAAGGCUAACACAAUAAAAUAAACAUACUGAAAAGAGCACGUCGACAUAAAUUCUAUAAAGAAAAGCCCAACAUAUGCAUCUGUCUCGACGAGCUGCUCAUACAUUAUGAUCACAGCAACUAAAGAGAGAGUACGUCAUCACCAAACUUUAAUCACACCCCCAUACGACGGUACCAUUGAGAAAAGAAAGAACAAUAUAGAAAAAAAUAUGAACCUGGAAAUGGAGCUUUCAAUUAACGAAACUUCAACGAUUUCAACAGUUUAAACCAACUCGAAUAAAAUGAUGACUUAAAGCUUGAAACGAACAACAAGAAGAACACAGGAAUCAACCAGCUUGACUAAAGCACUGCCGAGAUUUGAGCUCCAAAAAAGCAAACUUGUCCACAACUUGAAAUUUUAAAAUCAAGAUCUAUUGAGAAAACAAAACAUUUUUCGUAUGUUUUUCUGAAACGAAGCAGAAUAAAAGGAAAAAAUUUCUCAAAGAAAGUGACAACUUCAAGAACCCUAAAUUAUUUUCUAGAUUUUCUUUAUUUCAUUUUCUCUAAACAAAAUUUCUCUGAUUUUUUCUCUCUAAAUAUUCUGUAUAUUUCCUGUCUCCCCUUUCAUAUAAGACUUACCUUAUAUAUAGAGCCUUCAAAAGUUCUUGAAUCUUCUCUGAAAAAUCCGAAAUCCUUCAGAUUUUUUGAACGAUUUUUGGAGAAAUGGAGGGCAUGGAUCGAUUUUCAUCAAUGCACGGCCCCAAUUAAUCCAACAAUCAUCCUUCGUCGUACGAAGGUUGUACAAUUUUUGAGCAAAUUUGUACACAAAUCCGUUGAGUAUCAUGUGACGUGGAGGUCUCCGAUUUUUUUCUCUCUGAAUAUUCUGUAUAUUUCGUGUAUCCCCUUUCAUACAAGACAUACCUCAUAUAUAUACCCUUCAAAAGUUCUUGAAUCUUCUCUCAAAAAUCCGAAAUCCUUCAGAUAUUUUGAACGAUUUUUGGACAAAUGGAGGGCACUGAUCGAUUUUCAUCAAUCCACGGCCCCAAUGAAUCCAGCAAUCUUCCUUCUUCGUACGAAGGUUGUACAAUUUCUGAGCAAAUUUGUACACAAAUUGGUUGAGGAUAAGGUGACGUGGACUAAUGAGUGAACUCGUAAACGAGUUAGGGCGAGUUUGAAGGCUGAGUCGUUUGGAGAAGAAGAUGAAUAGUAGAGAGGAGGGGGGGCACCACAUCUGACUGUCUCUAGGGUUACGGUUUGUUUGGGAAAAUGUUAUAAAAGGGUUUUUAUAUUAAGAGGGAAACUGACGGGUCAUUUAGGUGGGUUGGUCUGAUUUCGUUGGGCUGAACUGGUUUUGGGCUAGGGCUGUAGAGGGGGAAUUGUUUGGGCCGUGGGGAAAUAAUUUUAAGAUGGCCCUAUUUCACAAGACACACCUUCUUUCCAAUUCUUUCUUUUAUUUUUUCUAAUUUUCUUUUCUUUUAAUUAAAAUCCUAAAAAUUCAAAAUCCUAAAUAAUCCAAAGUGUGAAACUAAAAUAAUUAUAUAAUUAUAAUAUUAUAAACAACACUUAAUUCUUUAUUAAAAGUGAAAAAUUAAUAAACAAAAUUGAAAGAUAAAAAAAUGUAAAAAUGGGCUAUUUUUUGUGAUUUUCAAAUUUUAAUAAAGCAAAUGAUUAUGAUUAAUUAUAAAAAUAUAAAAAAAAAUCCUAAUGCAAUGCAUGAUAUUUUUUGAUAUUUUUCAUGAUUUAAAUAAGCAAGAAAAUGCCAAAAACUAAUAGAAAUCUACAAAAUUCCUAAAAAUAGCAAAUAAUUGAGAAAAAUCUAUUUUCUUGGAUUUAUCGGAGUAUUUCAUAUAGGCAAAAAUCAUGUGCUCACAGCUGCCCCUCUUUGCUCGGAGACACGAAGGGUUUUUGGGCAAAGAUAAAAUGAGCAAUUACGAGGGAUUUUUGCCCGUUUGAAAUUCCAUGAGAAGCGUUUUUUGAAAAGAUUCUGACCUAACCUUGCUUCAAAAGUUGCCUACAUAUCCUUGGCUAUAAAGGAAUCAGGUCAGUAUAGUUCUGGAAGUUUUGGUAGCUGGGACUACCGAUAAAGCUAAGUUUUCACUACUGUUGCUGCUAUUUCUGCUUGCUGAGCUCCUUAUUACACCAAACGAAAAGUGAAAAGCUAAGCUAGCUAGGCCUAUCAACUAUGAUUUACUAGAUUCCUAUCAAUAAAUCUUUUGAAGCUUGUUCUUGAUUCUUAGCUAGUUCUUGCUCUGUACCUCGAUCUAUCUUGAUGCUCAUCAGUUGUAGGUGCUGGUUCUUUCUUCAGCGUUUGGAUUACGGCGGAUCAUGCCAAACUUGCAACUUCGAUCAUAUCUUGAGUCGUCUACAUCUUUCUCCGCUUCAACUCUUGAAUUCGUUUUUUUGCUCUUUUUCUUUUUUUCUUUAUUCUGGGCUGAGACUCAUUCUUUCGGCCAUCUCGAAUCCCGUUGCCAUGAGGUCAACCUGCUUAAAAUGUCAAACAAACAAACGGAAUUUUCUACCCUAGUUUUCACUAGGAAAAUUUCGUGAGUUAUUUGCAACAAAAAAAUGAACUAUUUAUUCUUUUUUUUGUUUGUUUUUUUGAAAGCAAAUAAAAUAAGGAUUGUAUCUAUCUAGAAGGGAAAACACCAUGGAUGGAGCCCUAUAUCUAAAAUGUCAACUCAGGGAUUGGAGCCCUAAUGUUGGCGAAAAGACGACUAGGGAAUGGAGGCCAUAUGUCUAAAAAAGGAUCAGCUCAAGUACUGGAGCCCAAAUGUUGGCAACGACGACUAGGGAAUGGAGACCCUUUCUCAAAAAGGCUCAACUCAAGGAUUGGAGCCCUAAUGUUGGCAAAAAUGACUAGGGAAUGGAGGCUCUAUGUCUAAAAGGCUCAAACCAGGGAUUGGAGCCCUAAUGUUGGCAACGACGACUAGGGAAUAGAGACCCUGUGUCUAAAAGGCUCAGCUCAGGGAUUGGAGCCCUAAUGCUGGCUAAAGGGAAAAUGCUCAACUCAGGGAUUGGAGACCUAAUGCCUGCUAAAGGGAAAACGCUCAACUCAGGGAUUGGAGCCCUAAUGCUGGCUAAAGGAAAAACGCUCAACUCAGGGACUGGAGCCCUAAUACUGCCUAAAUGAAAAAUGCUCAACUCAAGGAUUGGAGCCCUAAUCCUGGCUAAAGGAAAAACGCUCAACUCAGGGAUUGGAGACCUAAUGCUGGCUAAAGGAAAAACGCUCAACUCGGAUUGGAGCCCUAAUGUUGGCUAAAGGGAAAAUUCUCAACUCAUGGAUUGGAGCCCUAAUGCUAGCUAAACGUUGGCUAAAGGAAAAAUUCUCAACUUAAAGAUUGGAGCCCUAAUGCUGGCUAAAGGAAAAAACGCUCAACAGAGGGAUUGGAGCCCUAAUAUUGGCUAAAGGAAAAAACUCUCAACUCAGGGAUUGGAGCCUUAAUGUCGGCUAAAGGGAAAACAUUCAACUCCGGAUUGGAGCCCUAAUGCUGGCUAAUGGGAAAAUGCUCAACUCAGGGAUUGGACUAAUGGGAAAAUGCUCAACUCAGGGAUUGGAGCCCUAAUGUUGGCUAAAGGGAAAACGCUCAACUCAGGGAUUGGAGCCCUAAUGCUGGCUAAAGGAACUCAACUCAGGGAUUGGAGCCCUAAUGCUUGUUAAAGGAAAAACGCUCAACUCAGGGAUUGGAGCCCUAAUGAUGGCUAAGGAAAAACGCUCAACUUAGGGAUUGGAGCCCUAAUGCUGGCUAAAGGAAAAUCGCUCAACUCAGGGAAUGGAGCCCUGAUGCUGGCUAACGGAAAAACACUCAACUCAGGGAUUGGAGCCCUAAUGCCGGCUAAAGGAAAAACGCUCAACUCAGGGAUUGGAGCCAUAAUGUUGGCUAAAGGAAAAACGCUCAACUCAAGGAUUGGAGCCCUAAUGCUGGCUAAAAGAAAAAUGCUCAACUCAGAGAUUGGAGCCCUAAUGCUGGCUAAAGGAAAAAUGCUCAACUUAGGGAUUGGAGCCCUAAUGUUAGCUAAAGGAAAAAUUCUCAACUCAGGGAUUUGGAGCUCUAAUGUUGGGUAAAGGAAAAACACCCAACUCAGGGAUUGGAGCCCUAAUGUUGGCUAAAGGAAAAAUGCUCAACUCAGGAAUUGGAGCCCUAAUGCUGGCUAAAGGAAAAAACGCUCAUAGCGGGAACUCUAAACUAUUCACUUUUGGGAUUUUCUUUAUUUGUUAUCUCUUUUCUCUUUUUGUGUUUUAUUUUUUUAUUUUUUUAUUCUGAUAAGAUGCAGGAAAGAACUUGGAGGAAACUCCCCUUUGCAUUGAUUAUUUGCUGCAAAGCUGUUUCAGCACUUGCAUGUUUUCUUUUGGGCUGCACCUGCUUUUUGCACGGUUGCCUGGAUUGCACCUAUUUCAAUUUUCAAAUAAAGAAUAAUUGUUAGUUUGAAAUGAUAGUUGGUUUUGUGGCCUUGAUUGCUUGAUCCCGACCCAACUUCUUUGAUGAAGAUCUCAAUUGCAAUUGCUUGUUUCCUGGGGACCAAUUUCAUUUUAGACCCUGAGAACCUCUGAUUUUUUUUUUCAAAUUUUUCCAUGACGGUUGGUCAGUGGAACUCAACCUUUUUGACUUUAUUUUGCCUUUGUUGGCCUUUCCUUUCCGACUUCAUUUUCUUUUACCAUUUUUUCUUUUCUUUGCAACAUUGGGGAAUUUUUGGCUCCUCAAACUUUUGUGCAACAGCUAGUCACGUGGGACUUGACCUUUUCCAAUUUUUCCGCCUUCGUAGGCCUUUUAUUUCUUGCUUCUUUCUUCCAACUUUAGCUUAAGAGCAUUUGGGAUCCUUUUUCUUUUCAAAUCUUUGCCGAGACGGUUAGCCACAUGGGGCUUAACCUUUUUCAACUUCAUUUGCCUUUAUAGGCACUUCGAAUUGAUUUCUCCUUCCAAGAGUUUUAGUUCUGGAGCAUCGGCCGCCAUGGCCAGUCGAGGUCGAACUGAUGCACCUGUUGAGGCUGAGUACCUUUUUGCACAUUAGCUCGCACCAAAUGAGAACCAUGUAAAUCAGUCUUUCGAUCUUUUCUUUGCCUCAUUUUGAAACAGAGUUAGACCAAAAGAGAUUCAAACAAAACAAACAAUGGAAUGGAGAAUGAGUUUAAAACAAGAAGUGUCCCUUUUGGAGAAAGGAAAAAAGGACUUAUCUGGAGUGGAUGCGCACUUCAAUGACCAUGACUUGCAUUUUAGACUGGAUGCCUGGUCUGUGUAGACCGUCCGACUCUAACAAAAUUCAUCACCAUUUUUUGCCUCAAAAUCCAGAAACCUUGCCAACACUCUGUCGGUGCCGAUGGAUGUGAGGAUCAUCUUUUGAUCAUGGGCGCCCUUUGCGGGUUUUCACAAGAUGACCUUACUCAUUUCUCUUCUUACCAUCGCCUUAUAGUGCCCGUGUGGUGUUUCACUAACAAGAGUCUCUCAUUUUGAUUUUUCUCUUCUUACCAUCGCCUUACGAUGCUUGUGUGGGUUUUCACCAAUAAGACUCUAUCAUUUUAUUUCUCUUAUUUUGGCUGUGUUAGAUCCAGCUAGCUGUAUUCUUUGAUCCUUUUACACUCUCACCGAUUGAUCGAAAGGACUUGAAAAGGAUUUGGGCUAAAAAGAGAUUGGAUGGAAUUACAGCUUCGGAACCUUUCUGGCGAACUGUCGCCGACCCAUUAUAACUUUUGUCAGAGUUUCACUUUCGGGGGAGGGGGGGCUUAGAUUUUUGUUUUGGUGUGACUGAACCCAAGAGAGAUGCUGCCUACUUAUCCUUUCGGAAUCAAGUCGAGCGUAGUUCAGGAAAUAUUUGUUUUUGGUUUUCAUUUGUUUUUUGUCUUUUUUUUUUCUAUUUUUUUGUUUUGUUUUGUUUUCUCUCUUUUUGUUUUGUUUGUUUUUCAUUUCAAUUUCUUUCUCUUUUUUUCAUCUUAUUUUUCAAUAACGCUUUCAGGUUCCGAAGAGGGCAAUCAAAGAAGAGUAACCGGCUCAAAGGGUUUGCAAAUGGUUGAUAGUGUUUGGGUAGCAAGAAUAAAAGCCUUCAUCAUCCCAACCGGAGAAAAGUUUUAUUAUAUAAAGGAUCCAACAUAGUACCUUUUGACUGCAUUGUAUUGACAGUUUUUUCAAGGACGUUUCCUUCGAUGUUUCCCAAGCACAAUCCACUCUUUUGGCUGUACUCUUGUUGUAAUGCAUGGACCUUUCCAAUUUCGGGAACUAAUUUUCCUUCAAUUGUUCCAAAUCUUUGUUUCAUUUCCUUCAGCUAAUCUUCAUUAUGACUCAAUUCUUGAUUCAUUAUUUUGAGGUCUGACAGGGUUUUAGGAUCCGGGUAUGAAGUCCCCAAGCACGUCAUGUUAUUGAAAUCUGCAUUUAACAGAACUAAAAAGAGAAUAAGAAAGAAAAAUGAUAAGAUUAAGCGAAGAGAUAUUCCUGGAAAAUGAAAUAUUAAUUUCAUUUGAUUUUUUUUUUGAUUUUUUUAAUUUUUGAAGAUAGAAGGGUUUACAUCGGAAAGUAAGACAAUAAAGUAAAACAUCCAGAUCACACCCUGAGAUAAUCUGGAUGUAUAAAGGAUAGCAAGACUGGAUACCGAGACUCCCAUAUGAUGGGAAACUUUCAUGCUUGUCGACCAUUUUUUGGCUUUUAUUCUAUCUCGGCAAUGGCUGUAAUGGCCUUCAAUGCCGGAUCAGAUUCCUCAUCUUCACAAAUCAUUCCGACUGUUGGCCUGUUGUUGUGGGCAGGUAAUAGAUUUUUCAUCAUAUCCGAAAAACAAUUCUUUCAGCUUCAAUCAAAUCUUCAACUAUCCUUUUGAGGGUCCAACAGUCCUCUGUACUGUGCCCCACUACUCCAGAGUGGUAUUCACAUAUGGCAUCAGCUCGGUGCGAGAGGGACUCGGGGUUCGGCUGAUUUGGGGCUACUGGCUACAAUAGAUCUAGCCUGACUAGAUUUUGGAACAAGAUUGAAUACGAUUCACCAAUAGGGGUGAACUGAUCCUUUCUGAAAGGCUCUCUUGGGCGAGGAUUAUAUUGGGGAAUAUUUGGUUGAGGAUUAUAUGGAGCUUGGUAAGGAUGGACAUUUCUGGGAAGUGGAGCUUAGUUUUGUGGAUAUUGUUGUGUCAGCGGGUAAGGUUGAGCGUUCAUCACCACAUAGGAGGGACAAGGCGACACAACAUAAGCAGCAUCUGAAAGGGGAUAAUAGUGUGGUGGGACGAUAAGAGGCUUAUUUGAUUCUUGAAUAACCUACGGGUCCCCCUCGAGCUUGAAACCGUCAUGGCCCCCUCUUCAAACCCACUUUUGUUCAUCAAACCCUCCGAACCAUUUUGAACAUUUGGUGAUGUGGCUUUACAACGAGCAUGACUCAAGAUUCGACCUGUUUUCGGAACCAUUUUCAACCAUUUCCCCGAUUUUGAUAGCCUCAACGAAUGACUUACCCACAAUAGACAUCAUGUUCUGGAAGUAGUUAGCCUCUUGGGCCUGCAAAAAGACUAUGACCAUUUCAGUUUCAUCCAUUGGAGGCUUUACCCUAGCAGCUUGCUCACGCCAUUUGACACCAUAUUCGCAAAAGCUUUCACCAGUUUCCUUUUUCAAAUUGGACAAAGUGUUUCUGUUGGAAGCGAUGUCCACAUUAUACUGGAACUGACAGACAAAAUCUCGAGCCAUAUCAUUCCACACAUGCCAAUGAGUAAUUUCUUGAUUCGUAUACCACUCAUAAGCGAUUCCGGUGAGGCUUUCCCCAAAAUAAGUCAUUAGAAACUCCUUUCUUCCACCAACACCCCUCUACUGGUUAUAGUAUCGUUUCAAAUGAGCGAUAGGGUCUCCGUGCCCGUUGUACUUUUAAAAUUUUGGCAUCUUGAAGCCAGCAGGCAAAUGGACAUGGGGAAACAUACAAAGGUCAGAGUAUGAGACACUCUUCUGACCACUUAGACCUUGCACAUUUUUUGGACUUUGUUCCAGGCUCUUCAUCUUUCGAGCAAUUUCCUCUUGCUCGGGAUUUGUAACAACCUUUCCUUGCUCCACUGAGAGAUCAAAUGGCGUAGGUUUAGUGAAAGAAUAUGUGGACACAUAUGUUGUGUCCGACCGAAGCUGUAGACCCUGAAACAUGAAUAUUGGAGGCGGUGCCCUUGAAGCCGGUGCCUGGGGGCGAACCACAAAAGCCAUGCGAUGAUCAUUGGAGGUCAUUGCAGGGUGCCCGCGUGGGAUGAGCUGGUUGGGUACAGGGGCAUUGGUAACCUCACUUGACCCGGGGAUCAACUCAGGGAACCCAGGGAUUGCACUUGGCGAUUCCCCACCAUUAGACCAGGCAUCCCACAUUUCCAUUAUGUGGAGACGCAACAUCUUUUCUCUUCAGCAGCAGCUAAUUCUAGCUGCAGAAUAACCGAUAUCGGGCUAUUCCCAGGACCGAUGAUUGGUAGGUUGCUUGCGGAGGCCAUUUGUGCCUUUGAAUUUUACGAAUGAAAGGAGGCUAGACUACCAACAAAACCAACCACCAAAACCUGGCUAAUUUGCACAUCCAAAAACCUUAUUAGUUUUAAAACGUUUAACAUAAAGUGAAUCACACGUUUGGGAUGCAAUGCACCUAACAGUUAAACGCUUCUACCGUGUGUUUGACAUGUUGCAUGUUUCAUCCCACCCUUAAUUAACUAUUUUUCACAAUGUACCUAUUUCAAUCAUUUCUACAUCUCUUUGAUCACUCUUGAUUUUUGUUUUUACCGCUCUUUUAUUUUUGCACUCUCUUUUCUUUUCUUUUUUUUUUUGACUCAAUUUAUUUAUGGAUAUGAUCGAAUCCGAUGAGAAUUGCCUGCGUAUUAUGACCCCGCAUGAAUCAAAUCUUGCGUACUUAGGAAGGGUCGAGAAUGGCGUAAAUAUACUAACUCUUUUUUUUAAGAAAUGCUUUAGAAGAAAAAAGUAAAUAUUUUUUUUUUGAAUUUUUAUUUUUGAUUGAUAUAUUUUUUUUGUUUUGAUUUUUUGUGUUUUUUUUGAAAGAAAAACUUCUAAAAAAAUUCAUUUUCUUUUUAUUGGAACUUCGGGAAUCUCAAAAGUAAAAGUAAAAUAUAUUUUUUUCAAUUUUUAUUUAUUUUCCCUUUUUCUAAAGAAUAAAGAAAAUAUUUUUGGGUUUUGGAAGUUGCCUCUUAAUUUUUGAAAGAGGGACUUUUAAGAAAAUAUUUUAAAUUUCUGAGCCUUUUAUUUAUUUACAAAAGUACUUCUAAAAAAGCAAAAAUAUUUAUGGAAUUUUCAAUUUUUAUGGACAUUUACAAAAGAAAUAAAAAGUAUUUUCUUAUUUUUUUCUGGAUUUUUAUUUUUUUUUGGAAAAAUAUUUUAAGGAAACCCGUAUUUGGAUUUUAAUUUUAUUGAUUUUUCUUUUUGUAUAUGAAAUAUAUUAGAAAAAAGGAAACCAUUUUUAUUUUUUUUGAGUUUAAAAACAAUUUUUUUUAAAAAAGAAAAUUUUAUGGAAAGAUUCUCAAAGAAUGGACUAAAAGAAAAUAUUUUUGGAUUUUUUUUGAAAAUUGGGGUUGGAACCGAUGAGGUUUGCCUACAUAUCUCACAUCCGGUGAGAAUCAGACCCGCGUAGUUCGGUAAGUUUUUGACAAAAAUACAUUUUUCUUUUUCUUUUUUUUUCUAAAAAAUUUGACAGAGUUUCGUGACAUUUUCAAAUACAGGGAUUUUUAGAAAUUCGGUAAAUUCCUAUCCUACCUCACUCUUGGUUUUUCUCUUUAUUAGUUGGUCAACAUGCAAGCUGAAACAAAUAAAUAUUCACAUAGCACGUAAUAUGCAUCAGGAUGGUCUUUAUUUUGGGUACACCUUUCCUAGACAGAUCCAACCCCUGUGUUGAGUCCCCAAGGUUGAAUGCAACGUGAUGCAAAUAAUCGUUCCUACUCUGGAUCCGACAUGAGGUUGCGUUAUUCUAAGUUUAAAAAACCUGGUUUUUGUGGUCUAAACUUGGGUUACCCGAGCGGACAGCUAGGGCCGAGGAGGGGGCGACGUACCAGGAGCACUAAAGUCUGCCCGGCCUUGUCGCUUGCCAGCCUCGCUCUAUUUGGUGUAUUUUCUAUAGAAAAAGCGGGCAACACGAACGUAUGCACCAUUUUCAGAAGACUCAAACGGGUGGCGUAAGAAGACAUUUAAAUACAAUUCAAGUAAUAUCAAAGCGGUAAUGGCAAUUGGCACAUUAAGUCCACAAAAUACAACAAUAUCAACAAUAAAGCCAAAUAAAAAUCACAUUAACAAGCUCGAAUUCUUGAACCCCGAACCGGAAGUUCUAGGUUAUUUAUCCCCGGUGAAGUCGCCAGAUCUGUCACACCUCCUUUUUUAUGCACCCGAAAGGAUAGUAUAUAAAGUGAGUUUUUCCAAUUAAAGUGACAUUAUUCGAUAUGAGAUUAUUUAAUUAAUUACAGAGUCGCCACUUGGGAUAAAUUAUGGUGUCCAAAGUCACCGAUUUAUUUUAAAUCCCAAAUCAAGGAAGUUUACUUUAAAAGUGUCUGCAAAUAAGAAAUUCUAAGUAAGGAAUUCUGUUAUCCCGGGGAAGGUGUUUGGCUCCCCUGGAUUCCAUGGUUCUAGCACGGCCGCUUAGCAAUUUAUAUUUGGCUUAAGUGUUUGACUACUUAUUUUUAAAAUCUAUGUGCAAUUAUCUUUUAUCGUUUUUUAAAUACUUGAUUAUUCGUAAUUAAAGAAUUGAGUUACGCGUACGUAUACUCUUAUCCUUUGGCACGUCAAAACCCAUGUCACGCAAAUGUGUAAACAAUUAAUAACGUUUUGAUUAAUUUAUUGAGAAAAAUUUGUUGAAGUUGCGCAAAUGCAUCCCUCGAGUCUUUUAGAAUUAAAUUUGCAAUUAUGUUAUGCGUACGUAUACAUGAUCACAAGACUAACCUAAAUCGAGCCUAAAGCAAACUACGACAUCCAUAAUUUAGUCAAUUUCCUGAAGUUCAUGAUUUAUUGAUUCUAGAAUUGUUCGUAUAAGCACAUAGGAGUGCAAUAAAAUUAAUUAUGUCAAUAACAAUAAGUGGAUUAACGAAUUAGUAUAAUUUUUCUGCCAUAAAACCAUUUUAAAAGAACUGCCUAUUCACUCUAUUAAUACACUUAUAGCCUUAAUACUGAUAAGAAUCACGUCCAGUAAUAACAUUUUUUAACCAAACUUCAACAACUCACACACGAUGUUGUUACCCCAGUAAUGACAUCAAAUGGCAGACUAAAGGCUACACAAUAAAAUUAACAUACUGAAAAGAGCACGUCGACAAAAAUUCUAUAAAGAAAAGCUCAACAUAUGCAUCUGUCUCGACGAGCUUCUCAUACAUUACGAUCACAGCAACUAAAGAGAGAGUACGCCAUCACCAAACUUUAAUCACACCCAUAUGACGGUAACAUUGAGAAAAGAAAGAUAAACAUAGCAAAAGGAAGAAAUAUGAACCUGGAAAUGGAGAUUUCAAUUAACGAAACUUCAACGAUUACAACAGUUUAAACCAACUCGAAUAAAACGACGACUUAAAGCUUGAAACGAACAACAACAAGAACACAGGAAUCAACCAGCUUGACUGAAGCACUGGAGAGAUUUGAGCUCCAAAAAAAGGAAACUGGUCCACAACUUGAAAUUUUAAAAUCAAGAUCUAUUGAGAAAACAAAACCUUUUUCGUAUGUUUUUCUGAAAAGAAACAGAAUAAAAGGAAAAAAUUGGUUGAAGAAAGUGACAACUUUAAGAACCCUAAAUUAUUUUCUAGAUUUUCUGUUUUUGAUUUUUCUCUAAACAAAAUCUCUCUGAUUUUUUCUCUCUGAAUAUUCUGUAUAUUUCCUGCCUCCCCUUUCAUACAAGACUUACCUCAUAUAUAUAGCCUUCAAAAGUUCUUGAAUCGUCUCUCAAAAAUCCGAAAUCGUUCAGAUAUUUUGAACGAUAUUUGGACAAAUGGAGGGCAUGGAUCGAUUUUCAUCAAUCCAAGUCCCCAAUUAAUCAAGCAAUCGUCCUUCUUCAUACGAAGGUUGUACAAUUUCUGAGCAAAUUUGUACACAAAUCCAUUGAGGAUAAGGUGACGUGGAGGGGGGGACCAAUGAGUGAACUCGUAAACGAGUUAGGGAAAGUUUGAAGGCUGAGUCGUUUGGAGAAGAAGAUGAAUAGUAGAGAGAAGCGGGGCAUCGUAUCUGACUGUCUCUAGGGUUAGGGGUUUUUCGGGAAAAUGAUAUAAAAGGGUUUUUAUAUUAAGAGGGAAACAGACGGUUCAAUUAGGUGGGUUGGUCUGAUUUCGUUGGGCUGAACCGGUUUUGGGCUGGGGUUGUAGAGGGAGAAUUGUUUGGGCUGUGGGGAAAUAAUUUAAAGAUGGCCCAAUUUCACAAGACACACCGUCUUUCCAAUUCUUUCUUUUAUUUUUUCUAAUUUUCUUUUUCUUUUAAUUAAAAUCCUAAAAUUUAAAAAUCCUAAAUUAUCCAAAGUGUGAAACUAAACUAGUUAGAUAAUUAUAAGAUUAUAAACAACACUUAAUUCUAUAUUAAAAGUGAAAAAUUAAUAAACAUAAUUGAAAGAUAAAAAAAUGUAAAAAUGGGAUAUUUUUUGUGAUUUUCAAACUUUAAUAAAGCAAAUGAUUAUGAUUAAUUCUAAAAAUAUAAAAACAAAUUCUAAAUGCAAUGCAUGAUAUUUUUUGAUAUUUUUCAUGAUUUAGAUAAGCAAGAAAAAUGCAAACAAUUAAUAGAAAUCUACAAAAUUCCUAAAUAUAGCAAAUAAUUAAGAAAAAUCUAUUUUCUUGGAUUUAUAGGAGUAUUUAAUAUAGGCAAAAUCACGUGCUCACAGCUCGUAAUUGUUAUCAACUGGAUUCUCAGUCAAAUGAUCAGCUAAAGCCUGUGCUUUCAUUGCAGUCCGUGUCACAUAGAUAAUAUCAAACUCUGUAAGCAAAAUCUGCCACUUUGCAAGCCUUCUCGUGGGCAUAGGCUUCUGGAAAAUAUACUUCAGUGGAUCUAACCGAGAUAUGAGGUAAGUAGUGUAGGACGACAAAUAAUGUUUCAAUUUCUGCGUCACACAAGUUAGGGCGCAACACGUCCUCUCCAGAUGAGUGUACUUAACCUCGUAAGAUGUGAACUUUUUUUUGAGAUAGUAGAUCUCCUGCUCCUUCCUGCCAGUAACAUGAUGCUGCCCCAGUACGCAGCCAAAGGAAUUAUCCAAGACCUUCAGAUACAGAAUCAAAGUCCUCCCUGGUUCUGGAAAAAUCAACAUGGGUGGGUUCGACAAAUAUCCCUUUAUCUUAUCAAAAGCUUUCUGACAUUCAUCCGUCCAUUUAUCUGCGGAACCUUUCUUUAGCAGUAUGAAAAUGGGCUCACAAGUAGUUGUGACCUGAGCAAUGAACCUGCUAAUGUAGUUCAAUCUUACCGACAAACUCAUCACAUCAGUUUUGUUUCUCGCAGGCGGCAAUUCCUGAAUGUCCUUAAUCUUUGAUGGAUCCAAUUCAAUACCCCUGUGACUGACUACAAACCCUAGAAACUUUCCAUAUGGCACCCCGAAAGCAAACUUUGCAGGAUUGAGCUUGAGAUUGUACCCGCGAAACCUUUGAAAGAAUUUCCUCAAAUCCCUGACAUGGUCAGACUGCUGCCUUAAUUUCACAAUCACAUCAUCUAUGUACACCUCAAUCUCUUUAUGUAUCAUAUCAUAGAAAUCGUUGUCAUAGCCCUCAUGUAGGUUUACCCAACAUUUUUCAAACCAAAUGGCAUGACCCGAUAGCAGUAUGUUCCCCACGGCGUGAUGAAUGCCAUCUUCUCUGCAUCUUCCUCGUCCAUUAAGAUCUGAUGGUAACCCGCAUAACAAUCCACCAAAGAACCAAUCUCAUGUUUGGCACAAUUGUCGAUUAAUAUGUUGAUGUUUAGCAAUGGAAAGUUGUCUUUGGACUCACCUUGUUAAGAUCUCGAUAAUCAACGCACACCCUUGUUUUGCCAUCUUUCUUUCGUAUAGGCACAACAUUAGCGAACCAGGUAGGAUACCUCGUGACCCGUAUGACCUUUGCAUUAAACAUUUUAGUAAUCUCUUAUUUAAUCUUCACACUCAUGUAUGUUUUAAACUUCAUCAGUUUCUACUUAACAGGAGGGAGUGAUGGAUAGGCGGGCAGUUUGUGAGCUACCAGAUCAAUACUCGACCCUAGCAUAUCAUUGUAGGACCAAGCAAAAACGUCUAUUUAUUCCAACAACGCCGCGAUUAUUUCUUCCUUAAGUUGCAACUCCUGAUGAACACUAAUUUUACUUUCACGGACAUUAUCUUGGUCCCCUAGGUUAACUGCUUCUGUGUCAUUUAAGUUCGGUCUGGGUUUUUCCUCAAAGUGUUUUAAUUCCAUACUAAUUUCUUCAUAGGCCUCAUCAUCAUCAUAUUCCUCUUCAUCAUCACAUUCAAUUUAUUAUAUUAUUAUUUCUGAGUUAGGUUGGCUUAUAAAAUUGGGCCGAGAAGUCCUCAUGCAUGUCAUGUCAUUGAUAUCAGCAUAAAAAGAACUGUACAGAAAAGAAACGAUCCAACUAACCAGUUUUUCAAUUGUUAUAAAUUGGGCCGAGAAGUCCUCAUGCAUGUCAUGUCAUUGAUAUCAGCAUAAAAAGAACUGUACAGAAGAAAAAUGGAAACAAAAUUAUGAAAGAAGAAGGAAAGAAAAUUUCAUUUCAUUAAAACAUAAAUAUAACAAGGCUUAGCUCAUCCAAAUGGAUGGAACAUAUUCACAAUGAUUACAAAUCUUGGAAUAAUCUAGGUGAAAACAAAAAGAAAAAAUAAAAUCCCACUACCGGGAUUCCCUCCGAACAGGCAGAGGAGUGGCUUCCCAAUUAUUGAUCCUAGCAUGUGGCCCAAUGUGCUAAAUGUCUGCAUUAUUGGAACCUUCACCAGCCUCAACUAUGUUUACUUCAGAAAAUACCCUCUCAAACACUUUGCCCAAAUUUCCCUCUGCACCAAUCCGUGGACCCGUCGCCUGUGUUGAUAACUGCUUUUGGCCCUUGGCCUGACGAAGGACAUGGACAGACACGGAAUAGGUUUGGUAAGAACCCAAGUUUUUUUUUCAACUUGAGAGCCUUUCUGACAUAUGCUGUUGUUGGCUUGAAUCCCAGCCCAAAGGUGUCCAAUUUCUUGGGCAAGGAAACGGGUUGAACAAUGCCCUGAAGCUUAGCCCCUAGACCUUUCCUUGGAACGAAAGGUCGCAGCUGACACCCUAAGACUAGAAAUGCUCUUACCCUCCGGCACUCUGUUCACUAGGAUUGUGUCGAAGACCUGAUAGACCCAUUGCCCCUUAUCAUCAUCAGUUUCUAUAAAUGGCACAAUGGCAUCGCUCACUGCACAUGCGGGAUCUUCCCCAUGUAACAUAGUUUCUUAUCUAUCCCACUCGAAUUUGACCAUCUGGUGCAAUGUGGAAGGCACUUCCCCAUCACCACCACCGCCUUGUCUUUCAUCCUUUCCGGCUGAAUUACUGGCUUUACUUCAGGUGCCUUUUCUUUCUCCUUGGCUUCAAUAGAAUGAAUCAUCAUGGUUGUCUGCGAGGGCUUUUUAGACUCUCCCUUUUGUAUCAGUUUGAUCAUGUUAGUCUCGUGAUGCGCUUGCAACAGGUUUUGGUUGAUAUUUUGCACCUCCGGAGCCUGUACCUUGAUAUGACGAUUGUCAAUAAGUUCUUGUACCACAUUCUUCAAUUUCCAGCACUUCUCAGUAUCGUGCCCUAUCAUCCUUGAGCGAUAUUGACAACUAACAGAGUGGUCCAGGUUUUUGGGAGGGAAAUUUGGCACUUUGGUUUCGAUUGGGGUCAACAUACCCAGCUGCUUAAAUCUAUGAAAGAGAGUGGUAUAAGAUUCUCCCAGCGGAGUGAUUGUUUUUUUGAUUGGGCCCUUCCCAUUUUUAAUAGACUGAUUUGGACGAAAGCCAGUUCCUGUUCUAUUAGCCCUAGCAGGUGGAUAGGUGUUUUGUGGAGGUGGGUAGGUGUUUUUUUGAGGUGGAUAUGUGCUCUGGAGAGUCAGCCCACGCCAUUGCGGGUGAGCCGGAGACUGGUUGUAUGUCUGGGUGUGGUGGACAACAAAGUGUGGUUCGAUUGGUGGAUAGUAAUGUAGUAGAGGGAUAUAUGGGGUAUAUGUGUAAUUUGGGUGAUGAGGGGUGAGUUGGUUAUAUUGAGGCGGAGGGUUAUGAGGCCAGGACCAGGUACUAGCUUCAACCGUGCCAACUUCUUCUUUCUUCUUCUUUCCAAGAACACCACCAUGCAGCUUUGGAUGGCCUAUGUGGUUGCUUUCAAUGCCAAAUAACUCAAGAUUUUGUUGGAUUUCAAUCCUUCUUCGAUCAUGGCUCCCAUUUUUACCACUUUGUUGAAUGACUUCCCAACAGACGUCACUAGAUGACCAAAAUAGGUAGGCUCCAAUACUUGCAAGAAGUAAUCUACAGUCUCGCUCUCCCUUGUAGGAGGGUCAACCCUGGCUGCCUAUUCCUUCCAACAGAAACCAAAUUCUAUAAAACUUUCUGCGGGCUUCUUUUCUAACUUCAACAAUGAUAUACGAUCGGGGACUAUCUCAAGCUUGUACUGAAAAUUGCCGAUAAAUGCUUGUGCCAGAUCAUCCCAUAUAUACCAUCGACCGCGGUCCUAUCCCGUGUACCACUCCAGCGUGGAACCCCUUAGACUUUGACCAAAAUAGGCUAUCAGCAGUUCAUCCUUUCCUCCAACCCCUCUUAUUUUGCUGCAAAAACCUCGAAGGUGAGCCAAGGGUCGCCCUGUACCUCGUACAAAUCGAACUUUGGAAUUUUAAACCCUGCGGGUAACUGGAUGUCAGGAAAAGGGCACAGAUCCUUGUAAGAAACACUGACUUGGUUGCCCAAGCCGUGCAUAUUCCUAAAGGAUUGAUACAGGCUUUUGACUUUAUGGAUUACUUCUUCCUGUUCAGCGUUCUUGACGGGUUUCUCAACUUCUCUCGGGGCCUCAGAGUGGGGUGUGUAAGGAUAUGGCUCAAAAGCUUUGAAAGUGGGAUCAGAAGGGUAAUAUUGAGUGUCAUGAGCUUAGAACAGUGGCUCACUCGAGGAUCUAUGUAAUGUGGCUGGGGGAGGUUCCACAAAGACUGGAACCAUGGGCGGAGGCGGAUUUUGUUUGGGUGGUGGAGCAGGAGUAGCAUAUGACGUGGUACCAUAGCCCUGGGCGGGAUAGGGAAAAACUGAAGAUGCGUGGGGAGUGUUGGGAUCCAGAGCCUGCGCUAGGGGUGGAAUAUAGGCGGGGUUGGCAGCGUAUAAUGGUGUCGAGUUCCCCUGAGACCAUGCCCGAUGCAUUUUGGCCAUUUGUGCUUUUAGUUUCCUCAUUUCCUCUUUCAUAGCAUCCACAACUAUUACUUCAGCUUCAUUUGUGGGAUCCAUAAUACUGACGUCUGCAUUUUGUCCUGUCAUAUUUGCUUUAUAUUUUGACCGGGUGUUGUAUGGAUGAGUUGCCAGAAUGCUGAAUCAACUAACCACCUGGCUCGAAUCACACAUUUGGACAACAACUUGAUUAGUGAUUAGACUUUAACAAAUUAGGUAGCCGCACGUUGGCAUGAAUGCACCUAUACAGUUAACCAUUUCUAUUACGCCUUUGCUCGACUGCAUGUGUCAUCCCAGCUUUUUAUUAGUUCCGUCAAAAUUUUCGGUUCAUUUUCUCUCUCUCUCUUUAUUUCUUUUUCGCUUUCUUAUUCUAUCUUUUCUUUGCUUUUUGCUCUUUAUAUUUUUGCUCUCUUUCCUUACUCUCAUUCCUUUUUUCCUUAUUUUUCCGUUCUUUUCUUUCUUUCUCAUUUUCUGUUUCUCUCUUUUUUUCUUCUUUUUUUUCUUUUUUAAUGCUAUGGAGAUUGCCUACGUAUCAUGACCCUGCACGAAUCAGACCAAGCGUAGUUCGUGAAAAUAUGAUCAAAAAUAAGAAUGGAAAUAAAAUUUAUGGAAUUUUCAAUUUUCAUUACGAAAACAAACUAUUACAAAUUAAACAUUUUUGCGGAAUGAAAAUAACAGACAUAAACUAAAACAAAACAUAGACACAAGACUACCAGCAUACUUGACAUGAAACGAUAAUGGUAAAUCAGACAACAGACUCAAGAGUAAAAAGCUACAGGCAUGGACUAUGCAUAUUCUAAAGCCUCAUAUCUAGGUGCCCGGGGGGCGUCGUUCGGCCUUUCCGUGGGCCUAGGAUCUAAAUCCCUUUUAAUUUUCUCUAAUUUAUUCAUGGUUCGCUUCACAUAGAUCAUUAUUCCCGGGACAAAAGUAGUAUAGGUCAUAUCUUCACAAUCCCGGCAUCUUCUCAAAAUGGCGUGAGCGAUGGCGCUGAUCCUGUCUUUGGGUUGCUUCUUUUUUACGAGUAGACGUCUUAUCUCAUUACUGCAUGUAUUUAGGGCUUGGGAAUCUUGCAGAUGAUGACUCUGCAAAUGCUGCACCUCUACCUCCAUUCGGGCCAACAGGUCAUAACAGUGCCCUUUUUCAAUCUCAAAAUCCCUGGCUUGCUUAACAGUUUUACCUUCGAGGGCAGCCACCUUCUUCUUUAGAUUAGAAACAAUUUGCUCAUGGUCCCUUUUUAAUUGAUUCAAAUACCGACGAAGCUCACUUGUUCUUUCAGCCCACUGCGCCUUGAGCUCUGCCAUGUCCUUCUCAGAUUUUUCUAAUUCAUUUUGACAUUCCCUGAGCUCAUUUUCCAAUCCUUAUAUCAACCACUCAUCUGAUCGACUCCUUGGUCGCUUAUUUGCGGUUAUUAUCAACUGCCGGAUUUGGGCCUUAAGUGCUUCAUUUUCUCAAGCCAGACUCUCUUUCUUACCCUGAUCUGUGGAAACCUGUACACUAUUCUCAAACUUCAGACUUUCAACUUGUUGCUUCAGUUUACCAAUCUCAGCUCGGUAGCCUUCUUCUUUGGCUAACCAAUCCCAUUGUCCUAGUGAUGAUUCAGUAAAACCUUGAAUCUGGGGUCUCUUAGACGGUCUCCGAUGCUCGAGUUCCUUUUUGUACCAUGCAAUGUAUUCUGGCACUACUUCUCCUUUGGCCUAAUUUUGCACACAAGUAUUUUCUUGCAAAUAUUGGCGUUCAUUCCAAAUCUUACGGACUAUUGCCUCGGGAAUCUGUCCUGUCAGAGCUAAUCUCAAUUACUUGAACACUAAGAUCUUCUUCCCGUGGUACUGCUUGGCAUCUUUCGAGCCGUCUCAGAACUCGACAUAGAGCAUAUGGUUGGAUGCUCUUAAGUCCUAUUAGAAGAAAAUGCGACCUAGCUGCUGGCAUGUAUACGAUUUCUUCAACAGGCAAUCAUCGCAAUGUCCACUGUAUCUGACUGGCCUUAGGAGUACGAAAGUAUGAUACCCAUGUUUUUAUCCAUUAAGGCAGACUAACCCCAUCAAUAAUGGUAUAAAACUCUCCGAUACAGGUUUUGUCAGGAAACUCGUAACUCAAAGGAUGGGAACAGUGGCAUAGGUGCUCAGUCAUCAUCAUUUGUAGCAACAAAUUACACCCCUCUAAGAAAUUGCUCGCGGCUUUGCAAACAGUGAGAGCCUAGAAUGUCAGACACGAUCAUGUCGUAAGAGUUCCCUCCUCUUGAGUAUACAAGGUACUGACGAUCCCGGCUAUUCUUAUAUCAAUAUUUUCAUCUUUCCUCGGGAACACUAAGAGGCCCAAAAAGGCUAUCAUGAAAGCCCACCUGUCUGUGCUCGUCCCAUUUUGACGGUUAUUUAUACUGCACAGCUUAAUGUCCGGCUUGUUAAAUUCUCCCACGUGACCAUACCUAUUGUAUAUGAAGCGGAAGCUGUAGAAACCCUUUGCCAAAUCUGGAUGGUGAACUAUCUGAGGUAUUUUCAAAAAAUCUAGAAAUCGAUGCACCGUGAUAGCUCUUGAAGUGACCACAUAUUUUUCUUUCAGCGGAACCUCAGCAUUUCCGAUGUACCCAGUGAUUUCUUCCAGAGUCGGUGUGAGCUCAAAAUCUGGAAAGUGGAAGACAUUGUGCGCCGGGUCCCAGCAAAUGACCAAUGCUUUUAUACUAUCACCCCGAGGCUGGAUGUAUAAUAAACCCGUGACACCUUUCAAAUAUUUCUUUACUUCGUCAUGCCCUUCUUUGCCUAAGUGAUUCCACCAUAAUCGCAACUCAAAUGGGAUUUUGGUCAUUAUUGAAAAGGGUUCGUUUAGCACCGUGCUCAUCCUGCACAUUUAUUAAGGUGAUUAAGCGAAAGAAAACUUUUAUUUGACUCAGAAUAAAACUAUCUAUAUUCUUUUCCUAAUUUUCAAAACAAUGAAAGCCCGGUUUUCGAACACGUCCUUUUAGCACUUCGGGAACGAAGAUUUUAAGGUUGUGAUGGUCAACCGGCCAAAAAUAGAAAAUUGACCAAGACGGCCAUUUUGCAAAGUCAGCCUUUCGGCGUCCCUUUUGGGAAAAUUCAACUAUUACUGACAAAAACGGCGUCACCUCGACUUAUUAAUGAUAAAACAUUUGACAUUUUUAGGCUAUUUUUCGUAAAAGGGAGGUUGGACCCGAUGAGGAUUACCUACGUAUCUCACACCCUGUGAGAAUCAAACCAUGCGUAGUUCGGGCAGAUUAACCGAACCAUUUUAAAACAAGACUCUUUUUUUAUUUUCAUUUUUCAUGGCAAGACAAACUAUUUUUCCUUUUCUAUUUUUGAAAACCAGACAAAAUACGACUCUUUUCCAUUUUCAACAACCUAUUUUUCCAAACUAAAAUACGACUUUUUUUCUAUUUUUCCUUUUCAACAAACAAAAAACAACAUAUUUUCCAAACUAAAAAUAAAGAUUCUUUUCUUUUCCCUUCAACACACAAUAAAACAACCUAUUUUUUCAAAGUUAAGUCUAAGGGUUUCAAAAUAAGCAGAUCUAAGACAGAAUACCUGGAGUGCAAGUUCAGUGUCGAGCCGAGCGAAGUAGGCAGGGACGUAAUGAUUGGAUCCCAGGUCAUCGCCAAGAGGGACAGUGUCAGAUAUCUUGGGUCGGUGAUUCAGNNNNNNNNNNNNNNNNNNNNNNNNNNNNNNNNNNNNNNNNNNNNNNNNNNNNNNNNNNNNNNNNNNNNNNNNNNNNNNNNNNNNNNNNNNNNNNNNNNNNNNNNNNNNNNNNNNNNNNNNNNNNNNNNNNNNNNNNNNNNNNNNNNNNNNNNNNNNNNNNNNNNNNNNNNNNNNNNNNNNNNNNNNNNNNNNNNNNNNNNNNNNNNNNNNNNNNNNNNNNNNNNNNNNNNNNNNNNNNNNNNNNNNNNNNNNNNNNNNNNNNNNNNNNNNNNNNNNNNNNNNNNNNNNNNNNNNNNNNNNNNNNNNNNNNNNNNNNNNNNNNNNNNNNNNNNNNNNNNNNNNNNNNNNNNNNNNNNNNNNNNNNNNNNNNNNNNNNNNNNNNNNNNNNNNNNNNNNNNNNNNNNNNNNNNNNNNNNNNNNNNNNNNNNNNNNNNNNNNNNNNNNNNNNNNNNNNNNNNNNNNNNNNNNNNNNNNNNNNNNNNNNNNNNNNNNNNNNNNNNNNNNNNNNNNNNNNNNNNNNNNNNNNNNNNNNNNNNNNNNNNNNNNNNNNNNNNNNNNNNNNNNNNNNNNNNNNNNNNNNNNNNNNNNNNNNNNNNNNNNNNNNNNNNNNNNNNNNNNNNNNNNNNNNNNNNNNNNNNNNNNNNNNNNNNNNNNNNNNNNNNNNNNNNNNNNNNNNNNNNNNNNNNNNNNNNNNNNNNNNNNNNNNNNNNNNNNNNNNNNNNNNNNNNNNNNNNNNNNNNNNNNNNNNNNNNNNNNNNNNNNNNNNNNNNNNNNNNNNNNNNNNNNNNNNNNNNNNNNNNNNNNNNNGUGGAUGAGAAGAUGCGAGAAGCGAGACUGAGGUGGUUCGGGCAUGUGCGGAGGAGAAGUCCUGAUGCCCCGGUGAGGAGUUGUGAGCGGCUGGCGAUUCUCGGCGUUCGACGAGGCAAAGGGAGGCCUAAGAGGUAUCGGGGAGAGUUGAUUAGACACGACAUGGGUAGAAUGCGGGUUUCCGAGGACAUGACCCUUGAUAGAAAAGUCUGGAGGUCUAGCAUCAGGAUUGUAGGAUAGGGGCUCCUAGAGUUUUUCGUACUCCUCACCCAGGGUUGGGUGAGGCUUGGCAGGCCUAUCCAUAGAUGAUUUGUGUUUUGGAUUGUGUCUCACUUAUGGUAGUUAUUUAUGGCAGUUACUUUAUGAUAUUAUUGCAUGAUAUUUAUUUAUGGUUCUUAUGUUUGGAUAAUUAUUUACGUUAUCUCUGCUGGAUUUACUACUGCUAUUUUGUUUUUAUUUUUGUUUUUACUUUCCUUCACUGAGCCGAUGGUCGAUUGGAAACAACCUCCUUGCCCUUUCGAGUAGGGGUAAGGCUAGUCUACAUAUUACCCUCCCCAGACCCGACUUUGUGGUGGGACUAUACUGGGUAGUUGUUGUUGUUGUUUUUCAAAGUUAAAAGACACUUUGUUUCUUUUCCAAAAACAAUUUCCAAAAAAUGAAAGACUCAUUUUCUAUUUUUUCGUUUCUUUUUAAUAAAACAAAAUAAAACUUUUUCCUUCUUUUUCAAAACUUCGGCAGAGUUUCGGCAGUACUUAGGCACUAUUUUUUUCUAAAAUUGUCAAUUAAUUCCCUAACAACUAUAUCUUGCUCUUUCUCUUUUCUUUUUUUCUCAAUCUUCUUAACAUUUCCGAGAUUCAAACGCCGGUCAACAUGCAGGUGCGAAACAAAUAUAUGUACAGAAUAAGUAAGAUGCAUCAUGAUGGUCUUUAUUCAUUUCACGUUGCUAGUCCUAGACGGACCCAACCCCUAUGUUGAGUCCCCUAAGUCAAAUCCAGCAUGACGCAAAUAAGCGUUCCUACUAGGGAUCCUGCAUGAAGUCACGUUAUUCUAGGUUCAAAAUCUGGGUAUGUGUUCUAGACUGUGUAACCGAGCGUACAACUCGAGUCGAGGAGUGUCAACGUACUGGUAACCUGCGAGAUCAUCCGGCUUUGCAACUUAUCCGGCCUCUUUCUUAUUUCAGGGUAUGAAACUAGCAGAAUAGGGAGUCCCAACCAGUAAGCACAUCCCCAGAGGUGAAGAGAGAAGGGUGUCGGCACAAUUUAUAUACAAUUUAAAUAAUAUCAGUGCGGUAACAUUUAGCACAUUAAGCAUGAAAUAUAUGGGAAAAUAAGAUAUAGCCAAAUACAAUAAUUUAUCUAAGCUCGAAUUUCGAAACCUGAAAGGGCCCCGCAAAGGGAGUAAAGGAGUUUUUCCAAUUAAAGGACAAUCGGAACGGGAUUUGGUUAUUAAUUAUUUCAGAGUCACCACUUGGGAGAUUAAUGGUGUCCCAAGUCACCGAUUGAAUCCCGAGCCGAGGAAAAAGAUGAUUCUGUUCACAGUCUGCGAACCAGAAAUCCGGAUAAAGAAUUCCAUUAACCUGGGAAAUGUGUUAGGCACAAAUUUGUCGAGAUUUGGAUUUGGUUUGUAUCAAUGCACACCCGAGUUUAAGAAAUUGCUUUAAUUAAAACGCGUCUAAAGAUUAUAGGGUAUUAUUACUUUGGGGAAGACCGUGAAAUUCGCUAAACGACCCUCCCGAAUUCUAAGUAAUUUUACAUAACCAUUAUUAAGGGCCCCCGUGAUUUGUUUUUGUUUUGGCGAGGCUCGGCUACUCAUUUUAUUAGAAGGCCAACCUAAAAGUGACUACGAUUUUUUAUUUUUAUUUUUGUCUUUACGAAGAAAUUAAAAUCUGAUUACUUAUUAUUGCCAAUGUCAGGCCUUGAGUUCAGACCCCAAGUUCAAUCAAACCUACAUUCCUAGAUCCGCACACGAACUGAUUCAUAAUUUAAAACUGAAGUACUGCAAUUAGCAAUUAACACGAACAACUUACUAAGUUAAAACUGAUUAUAUUCACUAUGGUGCCUAAAACAUGAUCACAUUAAAAUGCUCAACCGUUUUACUACAUAAACUAGUCUUCUUACCUAAUUGAUAUCAAACACUUCAUACAAAUUACUGAAACUCAGAAAAUCAACCGAGAAAUUGAAACUAUUUCAUUAAUUCCACAUGAAACCAGUUAUAAUUAAUAAUCAACCUAGAACUCAUGGUUUUUUUCUAAAUAUACCCAUGCACGCCUAAGAAAUCAAACAAGCAGAAUCAUGAUUCAGAGUUUAUUAGUUCAACUUAUACAACCCAGGAUCAAUAUUAAUACAUAAAUGUCAUGCAAUAUCAAGUAAGCUAGCUAAUUUCACAUUAAAAUAGAAUCAAGGAUGAAUCUCAGAGAUCAAUUUCAAAUAGCAGUAUUACUUCAUUUCAUAGCUUGAGGGCUAAGCACAUGUACCUGGAGUUUGAAUUACAAUGAGAAGAAGAAAUGGUCAGUCACAGUAGUGUAACAGUGACAGCAACACACAUUUUUCAGCAGAUUUGAGUAACCAACAGCCCAGGAGAAAAUUUAAACAGACGGGAGGAGUUUGAAACUCAACAGCACCAGAAAACUCAACACAAACAUCUUGAAUGAAUUCAGAAAUUCUAAAACUCGAGCCCAGAAAAGAUCUAUCACACCAGGAGGAUUUUGAAAUCAAAUAACACCUCAAAUCAAACACAAGUGACCCCAGAAUCAACUUAGGAAGUUUCAGCAAUAAGAAGGACAUCGAGAUCAACCAGUAGCAAACAGAAACCACCACCCAACACUUGAAUAAACCUGAACUCUAGCUAGGAUUUUAAUGAAAUAGUAAACUGCAUUUUUUGGGUUUUUUGGAUAUUUCUACUGUUUUUGGGAUUUAUUUUAAAUUUCAAAUACUAAAUUCAAAACUAAAAUGAAGAGCAAAUGGUUUUCUGCAGGAAUUUUAGAGCUGGAAGUUGAACCUCUUUUACAAGGCAUUUGAUGCCCUUUUAUAGGUAGAAAUUGGGGCAGCCUCAGCUUUUUGUUUGGAAACUUAACCCCUAAUUAUUUCCAGCCUAAAUCCCUCAAUUUCUAACUUGCCGCUCAAGUUACUGCCCUAAGUCUAUUGAAAAAUACACUAAAAUCCUAUUCUAGAAGCCUCUACGACACUCUUUUAGCAAGACAAUUGCUACACUACCCUUCCCCUGUUUUAAAAUUACAAUUUUUAAAGAUUCUACCCUUUUCUAUCCCUAAAAUCCCUUGACUAGCCCCUCAAAUUAUUGUCUUAGUUAACUACACCAAGCCCUUACCCAGUUAACGUUUAACCCAAGCAACUAAUCAAAAGACUUCUCAGCUAUAUCCAAUUCAACUAUCCUAAAACCUACCUUAGCACUAAAUUGAAUCACAAACUGCAAAUGAAACAAAUCAACUCCUAAGUUCAAAUUGCAAUCAAAUAGAAUAAACAAAGAAACCAAAUUACGCUACCACAAUUAGUAAUUAAUGACUGAGCAUUCAAGCUAUAAACAAUCAAAUCGAAAUCAAAAUUUAAGUAAAGAAAUGAAAAUUAUCCUAACAUGAAUUACCCUAAAUACUGCUAACAAACAAGGAGGGAAAAUUAAUGCUAAACUUCGAAUGAAAACUAAAACAAUAUAAUUGAAUCACAAACUGCAAUUGAAACAAAUCAACUCCCAAGUUCAAACUGCAAUCGAACGGAAUAAACAAAGAAAUCAAAUUACGCUACCACAAUUAGUAAUUAAUGAGUGAGCAUUCAAGCUAUCAACAAUCAAAUCGAAAUCAGAAUUUAAGUAAAUAAAUGAAAAUUAUCCUAACAUGAAUUAUCCUAAAUACUGCUAACAAACAAGGAGGGAAAAUUGAAGCUAAACUUCGAAUGAAAACUAAAAGAUACUUAACUAAAAUAAACAAAGAAAAUCAACUAGAAGCAGAGACUGAAGAACAGGAAUAUGAAAAACUUACUGCUGAUUAAUCUUAACGAAAAGCCUUCGAAAUUAACUUCGAGUUAAUGUUAUAGGUCCAUCUCGUAAGGGAUAAACUCAUAACGUUAACCCGGGUCAACUCGUCUUAACAAAUCGACCAAAUAGUCUGAAGCUAUGACCUUAGACCCAAAGAUAAAAAACUUCACAAAGAUUAGAAGGGUUUUAAACAAGGAUUCGAGAUGAGGAGAGACAGGAGACUAUCUAGUAUCAAUUUGGACUGGUUUGGAUGAAUUUGUGAUCUGGCCGAAAAUUUCGAUUCAAUAUUUGAAAUGCCUGGCUUUGAUUCGAGGGACACCAUUAGCAGAUAUGAGAAGAAGAGGAUGAAGGGAGUUUGGGGUGUUAAUUUGGUGGGGUUUGGAGUAGGCGCCGCCACUGGCGGCCUAAGGAUUUAGGGGCUACGGGAUUAGGGUUCUUGAGAGGAUGGGGGUGUGAAGAAGAUGAGAACUGGGGAGGGGGAGCGUUCGAACAUAUAUAUAUAUUAUUUCCUCCUCAGUUCACAGCCGUUCGAUCAUUUACCUCGACGGUCCAGAUUAAAAAUCAUGGAACGACGUCGUUUCGAGUUAUGGGGAAUGGAGCGGGUAGAUGGGGAUUGGGCUUGGGCGACGGGUGUGGGUUCAAUUAAUCUCUUCGGCUAAAUAAAAUUAGUGUAACACCCCAGAAAUUAGGCGGCCCACUUUGGUAUUCCUUUUUUUUUUCUUUCUUAUUUCAAUUAUUUCUUUUAUCUUUUUUUUUGUGUUUUAAUAUAAAUAUUUUUCGUUUUUUCUGAUUUUAUAAAAUUGCAACACUACAAAUCCUAAUAUAUUUAAUCUGAACUAAACGAUUCCUAAAUUAUUGUAAAAUAUAUUUUAUGACAAAUUCCAAAUAAAAAUGAUUGAAAUGUAAAAUGAACUAAUUUUUUUUUGUGAUUUUCAUGCUUUGUUCUAAACCAAAUUAACCCCUAAUUAAUAUUAAAAUAUGGAAUUAAAUGCAAAGUGCAAAUGUAUAUUUUUGUAUUUAUAUUAAUUAUCAUGCACAAAUAAAAUAUAAACAAUUACCACAAAAUUCAAUAGAAAUUGUAAAAUAAUAAGAAAAUUAUUUUAUUUAAAUUUUUGGAAUAAUUUUCUUAGGGAAAAAAAUACGUGCUCACAUGUUUUUAUAAUUAUAAUCAUGUAACGUGAAUGUAUCCACAAUCACAACGAUAUAUUAAACGUGCCUAGAGCUAGCUACAAAUAUUCAUUUUAGAAACCGUGAGCAAGUUCAAAUCAGGAGAAUUCAGCUAUAGCCAAUUCGAGUAAACAUACGAGUAGAUAGAUAAAUUUGAAAAUUCAAAACUACGGAAAACAAGUACAAAAUCAAUGGGAAAUAUCACCAAGCCAAUAAUUAAUAUCAAGCUUUCAUAAAAUGAAUUGAGGAUGAAAGAGUUGAACCUCAAUAAAGCCGAACAAUUGAUUGUUUCACUACUUUGAACUCAAGAUGUAUCGAACCACAUACAGAACUAUGAACUCGAGAUCUAUCGAACCACGGACCAAACUCGAAUUAGAAUCGAAGAUGGAGCUCAACCAAGCUCGUACUCAAACCCAUAUUUUAACCAAAGUUCAUUCCUGAACACCAAGAAAACAGAAUUGAAAAAAUGGAAAACAUGAGUCUGUAAUUUUUAUUUUCCCCGUCUUAUGUCCGUUUGUUUUACUUGAUAGUGUAAUUUUUGUGAAGUUUUGUCUCGUUUCCUUCUUCAGAUCUAUCCCACCAUGUUUCCCCUUUCCCGUUCCCCUAUAUCCCAUUCUGUAUUUCCUAAUUUGGGUUUCACCUGAAAGAGUAGCUUAACGCUAUUAAGGCAGGAGAAGAAGCGGCGCUUGACAGCGAAGGUGUCAGAGGCGGAGUGGACGACAACGGUUUGGGAGGAUUGGUGAUGUGGUUUUGAGAAGAAGAAUAAGAAAAUUGCAGAAGCUAAGCUAAAAGAUAGCUUUCAUAAAUCUGAAUAGAAUAGUCUACAACUUCAGCUAUUACAAGGCUCUCUUAGCUUAGGACUAAAUUCUAUAGUAAAUAACUAGUGGACUGAAAUGUAAAUAAGACAAGGACUAAACUAAAACGUUGAGGACUUAGUAACUACUAUAACUAACUUUAUGCAAGUACUACUACCAAAGCUUAAAGUACCACUCCCGUCUGCACAACUCUCACUAAGGACAUAUCAGUACCCCCCCCCCCCUCAAAAUAUUCCUUGACCUCAAGGAAUGAAUGUAGGAAAUCAGACUUUAAUGGCAUUUGAAUCUUCCCAUAUUGCUUGAUCUUCUGAAAAAUAUUCCCAUUGAACUGAAAAUUGGACCAUGACUUUAUUCCCCUUCUGAAUCAUCAUUCUAUCAAGUAUCUUGGCUGGGAUGGGACAGUAAGGACUGGACAAAUCUAGAAUGGGAGGAUGGUUCACCUUAGUUGGUACUUCAUAACAAGAUUUAAGGAGUGAAGCAUGAAAAGUUGGGUGAAAGAGUAACUGAGAAGGUAGGUCAAGUUUAUAGGCUACAGUUCCAACCCUUUCCAAUAUCUGAUAUAGACCAUAGUAUUUGUCAGAGAGUUUGGUGAAAUGCCUUGUGGACAGAGUUAAAUGGCUGUAGGGUUGCACUUUCAAGUAGACACAAUCACCUACUUUAUAUUUCCUGUCAGUCCUAUAUUUAUUAGCACGAUGCACCAUCCAUUGUUGAGACCUGGUCAAAUAAAACUUCAAAAGUUGCAGCUUCAACUCUCUGGUAGAUAGGCUCCUGUCUACCUCUUCUAUAUCAGAAUCCCCAGAAACAUAAGGUAGGUGUAAAGGUGGAGGUUGGCCAUAUAGAGCCUCUUAGGGAGUGGUCUGAAUUGAAGUGUGAAAUGUUGUAUAUUACCACCAUUCAACAAAAUUGAGAUUACGCACAUAAUCCUUGGGAGAGUCAGAACAAUAGCACCUAAGGUAGGUCUCAAAAAAUCUGUUUAUGACCUCAAUCUAGCCAUCCGAUUGAGGGUGGUAGGCAGUAGAGGUGCUCAAGGUAACCCCUUGUAUUGCAAACAAUUCUUGCCACAACUUGCUGUUGAACACUGGGUCCCUAUUACUCACAAUAUCAGCUGUUAUACCAUGCAAUUUAAAAAGUGUUCCAUGAAGAGUUUAGCUAUAUCCAAGGCAGAAUAGGGUGUUUGAUAAAGCUAUGAAGUGAGUAUACUUAGUUAACCUAUCAACAACCACCCAAAUAACCUCUUUUCCCUUGGAUUUAGAUAGUCCUUCAAUAAAAUUCAUACUGAUGCUACUCCAAGCCACUGAUGGGAUUGGUAGGGGCUGAAACAACCCAGGAUAUGCAGAGGGGUCAUAUUUACUCUUCUGACACACAUCACACUUCUUAACAUACAGCCCAAUAUCCAUUUUCAAUCCCUUGCAAUAGAAGAGUGAGGCCACUCUCCUAUAUGUAUGAUCUAUCCAAGAGUGUCCCCCUCCUACAGAAUUGUGCCACAAUUUCAGAGUUUCUUGCCUCAACCCUUGAUCAUCCCAAUUACUAACUUCCUUUUCUUCCUUAGUUGUCGGUUGAUGUAGGAAUACCCCUUGACCUCUUCAUUGUGGCCUAUCAAAUGUUGCUUUAACUCUUUCACCUUAGAAUCAACCUUCCAACUGUCCUUGAUAGUUUGCAACCAAUCAGUUCUCAUAGAAGAUAGGGUCACUGAUACCAACUGAGCUGCCAAAAGCCUAAAUAGGGCAUUGGCAGCCUUGUUCUCCUUUCCAUUUUGAAUUGUAUCUCAAAAUAAAGUUGCAUCAAUUUAGUAAUCCACUUAAGUUGAGCUCCAGUGUGCAGCUUUUGAUCCAACAAAAAUUUAAGGGCCUUCUUAUCAGUCUUGAUUAUAAAGUGUCUGCCUAUCAAAUAUUUCCCCCACUUGGUGAUAGCCAUGACCAAGGCCAGUAACUCCUUGUCAUAUACAGACAUAGCUUGGUGUUAUGUGGAUAAACCUUUACUCAAGUAGGUAAUUGGUUGUCCUGACUGCAUAAGGACAGCUCCAAUUCCCACAUAACAAGCAUCUGUUUCCACUAUAAAUAGGGAGUUGAAUAAGAUAGAGCCAAAACAGGUGCAGUAGUUAGAGCCAUCUUGAGAUUUUCAAAUGCUGCAGUGGCCUAGUCAGUCCACUUGAAAUGGUCCUUUUUAAGAAAAUCUAUCAAUGGAUUGCUUAUGUGCCCAUAACCUCUGAUAAAUCUCCUAUAGUAGCCUGCUAGACCAAGGAACCCCCUCAAUUGCUUAAUAGUAGUAUGUGUAGGCCAGUGUUGAACAACUUGAAUUUUCUUAGGAUCAGUAGCCACUCCCUUGGCAGAGAUGAAAUGGCCUAAAUACUCCAUACUAGCCAAAACAAACUGACACUUGUUCCUUUUAGCAUAGAGCUGGUGAUGCAUUAGAAGGCUGAAAGUUAUCCGCAAAUGCUCAACAUGAUCUUCCAAGCUCUUGCUAAAAAUUGGAAUGUCAUAAAAAAGGACCAAGAUAAACUUUCUCAGAUGUUCCUGAAACACAUGAUUCAUCAAUCCUUGGAAGCUAGAAGGGUCAUUAGUCAGUCCAAAGGGCAUGACUAGGUACUCAUAAUGGCCUGAGUAUGUUCUGGAAGAAGUUUUAUGAAUAUUUUCUGGUGCCAUUCUUAUUUGGUGAUACCCAGAUCGAAGGUCUAUUUUAUAAUACACUUAGGAACCACCUAAUGCAUCCAACAACUCUUCAAUUAUAUGAAUAUGGUCCUUAUCCUUGAUGGUGAUCUAAUUAAGUGCCUGUGAUCCACACAAAUCCUCCAGUUGCCAUCUUUCUUUCCCACAUUACUACAACAAGUCCUUUUGUGGCAAUUAUUUAGCGGCAAUAAGGCAAUGGUCGCUAUAAAUUAUUUAAGCUUAAAUAAUAGUGGCAUAUGACCAUUAGCCAGUAAAACAUAUAUCCUUUUACCGGCAAUAAAAAAUAAUAGCCACAAAAAAUUACCAAUUGAAAUCAAUCUAUUAUUAUUUUCACUUUCCCUCCGCUCAAAGAAAAGAAAAUCUUUUCCUCCAAUUUUUUGGAUACCUUUUAUCGUAUCCCACCUCAAUUAGAAAACAAUAGAACGAAAACAUUGUAUUGUUUCCCUCCCCAGUUGAAUCAACUUCGCUGCCAAAAAGACUCGACUCACUGUUGUGUCAAUGCCAGUGUGGCAACUUUUAUGCGAUUUACAGUGCAUCAACGACAGUUCCCUUCUUCUUCCUAGGUAAAUUCGCUUCUCUUUGAUUUACAGUCGAUCUACAGUAGAUCACUCCAAAAUGAUUUACAAUGCGUCAAUGAUAGUGUUAACUUCUCUUCUUCCAAUCGAUUUAUUGUAGAUUAACAAUAAAUCGGUUCCUUGCAAUUGAUUUACAGUAGAUUUUCUAUUGAUGUUGGUCGAUUGAUUUGCAGUAAAUCAGUUCCUAACUUGCUAUUGCGUUAACAACUGUUGUAGUGCCCGUCCAUCUUCUUCCCAUGUUGACUUCUCUUUUUUCCUGGUUAAAUCAGUCAUUUUCAAUCGAUCUAUAAUAGAUUUUGGAUUGAUGCUUGUCGAUUGAUUUAAAUAGAUUAUGUGCAAUUUAAUCUAGUAAAAGUCAUGCUAUAUGGCUACUCUUUUUUGGAUGUAGAAAAUCCUGAUUUAGGAAGUUUGUUUUGGCCGCUUAUCUUUAUAUCUAAAUUUCUCCUAUGUUAUAAACCAAUUUUUGGGAAAGAAACUCAUAUACUUGCCAAGGUUAAUGUUCUUGUACAUAGGAUUCGUGUUCUGUAUGAAACAAUGUAUGUAGAAUGGACAAAGAUUUUCAGAUCCUUUAAUAAGUAUGGACGCCCUUUGUUACUUUAAGAAUGACUUUCAAAUGGUGUAAAACAGGCCCUCGACUAUUCAUAUAUCAGAUUAAACUUUGUUAAGUGCUUAGAUAAUGAAUAUAAAUAUAUAGAUUACCGCUUGGAUAAAUUUUUGAUUGCAAAAUAUGCAUAUGAAACUUAAUGUGUAAAACAUGUAUAAAAACCAGCCUAUUACAUGGAUAGCCGCAAAGAGAUGUGACCAUUUGUUUUCCCAAGUAGUUCUCAGUAUUUGUUUGGGUCUAUAUUUCUUGUCGAAUGAAAUUUGCGUUUUGUAGAUAUUGCAGAAUUAAGAAUCAAACAAUGUUAUGUUGUAACUAUCACUGCCCAACGCCAAAAUACAAUGCUCCAAUGUCUGGAUUGCAGCUUUCCUAUGUGUUCUGAGCUUUUGUCAUCUCCAGUUGCUUAUGUUAUUUCGAAUAUUCCAAAACACAAUGCUCCAAUGUCUGCAUUGCAGUUUUCCUAUGUGUUCUGAGAUUUUUUCUUCUCCAGUUGCUUAUGUUAUUUCGAAUAUUCAAAAAGUGUUCUUCCCUGACCUUGCCUGGAUGUAUGUAUGUAUUUUUAAAGUCUCCUUGUACAUUAAACAAAUCCACAAAAAGGCACCACUACUCAUCUGAAUACUAGAUUCAUCUUUGCAGCAUCCAUGGACAUAAUUGGCCCAGUCCAUUUUGAAGAUAUCUAUGAAAAUGACCAAUUAAUGUUCGAUGCCAAAACUUAGAUGAUUCAUUCAUGUGCAUUUGAGGUGUUAACUUGCAUUAGGUAGUCCAUUCCAAACACCUCAUUUGCUCUUGUUUUAGCUUGCCAAAUAUAAAUUCUGGGCAGCAUAGCACUCAUCCUCGCUUCUAUGCUUGUGCCUAACUUUAACUCCUUCCAGAUGAGUGCACAGCACUAAUACCACCAACUGUAAUUCUAUUAAAGCAUAGGGCAUAGACACAGUAUUUUUCCCUGCAAAAGAUAACAUAGUGUUAGUGAAGAUCUUCAUCACCAUGCUCGUCUCCAUCUAGAUUUGAACAUGAUGAUGCAUUGAGUAAACACCCUUAGAUUCUAUCCAUGUAUGAUCAGUUGUUCUGUUACAAUGAUUUUGAUAUAAUAUUGCAUCAAUUCCACCAACAUAUUUAAUAUAAACCAUUUUGAACCCUGAACUGAUCCACCAAAAGUCAUAUCAUGUAGUUCUAUACCAAUUGUGUACAUAUGCAAAUCUGCCUAUUUUAAGGGUUGAUAUAUGUGAGCCCCAAUGUAAUUCUAUUCUAGAUCUUUGUUGGAGUAUUUCCUGUGAGUUUACGAUAUUAAUCUCAAUUUGAUUUCCACUCCAAUCACAUCAUGUAAUCCUAUUAUAGCUUGCCAAAAGAGGUCGCCUAUCACAGUAAAUCUGGGCAGCAUAGUACUCCUUAUUGUUUCUAUGUUUAUGCCUAUCUUUGGCUUCCUUUUUAGUGUAGUGAGUGCAUAGCACUAAUACCACCAGCUGAAAAUCCACCAAAGUAUAGGGCAUAGGUACAGUAACUUGCCCUGUAAAAAAGAAAACAAAGUUAAUAAAAAGUGUAAUCACCAUGUUCUUUUCUUUAAGGAUUUGAACAUAAUGAUAUUUUGUGUAAACUCCAAUUGUCUGCUCCUCAAGCUUUCUCUCCUCCAUAUGGAUUGAUCAUUAUAAUCGAUUAUAUUCUCACUGCUAGGACGAGGCAGAAUUAGCUGUUGCACGUUAUCAUCUCCAAAAGUUGGUAAGUUAAUUCCAACAUCCUCCUCGUGUGUAAGCGCAACAAAAACAUUUUGAGUUAUGAUAAUUUUUGCGACAUUCUGUCGCACAACAAGAAAAGUUAACUGUUGCUACGUAUUUUCCACAACUGGAGAGUGACCUUGCCUACUUGAAGAUCACACCACUUCUUUCCAGCCAUCCCUAGUGAUAUUAUUUGUUGUCCCAGCAUUAACAGUAAUAGUUGUUUCUGCACCAACUUCAGCCGUAACGUAGUUAUUUUUGCACCCCUUGUCGCCUGGUUCUGGUCAUUAGAGAAUUGCUCAGCAGUAGUAGUAACAACCUCUGUCAACCUCACCACACCAUAAAGUGAGAAAACAUUAGGAGACUUAGUUUGCUCAAGUACAAUUUUUGAGAGUUCUUAGCUUUUGUAAAUGUUGCCUUAAACCUGCAAUCAUCUUCUCAGUCACACGAUCAGCUCCAUUAGAAUUAUGUGAAAUGUAGGCAGGGUCGAUUAAAAUGGUAGCAUGCGCAGAAAAAGCUAUUGUAUUUUGUGGCUUAGUGACUUCCAAGCCUUAUCCAAAAGCACGAUCCAACUGCUCGAUCCAUCACAGAAACAUUAGCAUCCUUCAGCUUUUGAGAAACCUGAACAAGAGUUUCUAGUUGACCUAUAUUCUUAUCAUGCUUCCUUAAUUUGAUGAGAGACUACAUAGUGGAUGAAAUAUGAUAAAUUAACCUGCUGACUGUCGCUUUAAGAUUACUUUAUUUUAUCUUUUUCUCUGUCUGUUCUAAUCAAUUUGAUUGAAAUGUUCGUAUUUUAGCUUAGUUGUUUUUGCUUAUAGAUGUUAGGUGAGGGAGUUUGCUACUCUAACAGUGAUGAAAUCUUCAAGUUGUUUUUACACAUUAUACUUUAUCUUUUGACACAAUUACUUUAUAAUUUCAGGUCAUACCGUCUGAUGUUGGAUAAUUUAAUGGUUGAAAUAUUUUAAAAUGAUGAAAAGUUGCAGAAAUUAUUUGAAAACCAUCAUUUGGAUUAGUUAUAUAAUGACAUUAACUAUUUAGUCUAAACAAUAUAUUUUUAUGUUUUAAGUUACUGUGAUAUUAAUAUUUUUGAUUAGCACUUCUUUUUUGUUUGUAAGAUUAAUGAUAUACAUUAUAUUUUUAAAUUAAUAUUAAUAUAUUUGAGUCUUAUUAUGUACAAAUGUAGUAACUGUUAUUAAUUGUGGCUGAACUAUUUAUAAUUGAUGUAAAACAAAUGUCGUUAAAGAUAAUGACUUUUAGCGACAAUUUAGUUAAAUAUAUUAGUCAUUAGAAUGGAAGCUAAAAGAGCAAACUAAUAUGUUUUUAGAAGGGAUAUUAUGGUCAUUUUAAUUGCCAAGAAAUAAUUUCCAUCAAAGAUGCGAACUUUUAGUGGCAAUUAUUUUUAAUUUAGCGACUACAAAAAAUAGAUGAUAAAGAAGUAUAAUUAGUCGUUUGGAUUGGAUUUAGUAGACAUUAUAAUUGCCACAAAUAAUUGCUUUGGAGAUAAUUAUUUUGAAUGUAGCGGCUAUAAUAAUGGACCCUAAAGAAGUAUAAUUAGCCGUUUUGGAUUAGAUUUAGUAACCAUUAUAAUUACAGCAAAUAAUUAUCGUUAAAGAUAAAAACACUUAGCGGCAAUAAAAUAUACCAUUUACCAGGUUUUGCGAGAAUAGCUGUUAAAAGCUUUGCCGACCCAGUUUUAGCGGCAAAAGGCUAAUGGCUGGUAAAAGGUAUAGCGGCUAUAAUUAUCGCUGUUAAAGCCAUUUAUUCCCACUAAAGGUCUUAUUUGUAGUAGUGACUAGAACCAUAGGGGAUGCAGAAGGACUACAACUAUUUUGAAUCAGUCCUUGAGACUUCAGUUCCUUAACCAUUUGCUCGAUUACAUCUUUCUGAACAAGAGAGUACCUAUAAGACCUUGAGUUGAUUGGUUCAACCCUCUCUUUCAAAUGAAUAUGGUGAUUGAAACACUUUCUAAGUGGUGGUAGCCAUGUAAGCUCUUGAAAGACUGGUUCACAUUCCUGCAACACUUGUUGAAUCUUGAGGGGUUCUGUCCCUAGCUGUUUCUCCUCCAUUUCUCCUGAAUAAGAAACUCUCAUCAUAAACAGCUGAACAUUGUCUCUAGUAGACUUGUGAAGGGAAGCGAAUUCCACCAUUUUAAGCUUAAGUAUAAUUCUUUGUAAUGCAAACAGUUUCCCCUCAUAGUUAAACUCCAUGGUUAGCUGUUUGAAAUUAAACACAAUGUCCCCUAAGGUACUGAGCCACUGAACCCCCAACACCAUAUCACAAGUGCCCCAUGGAAGCAGUAAGAAAUCAGCUCUAAAGACUAUGUUAUGCAACAACCAUUCCAGCCUUCCACAUUCGAGGGAUAGGUACUGAAUUUCCAUCAGCAAGAAUAGCAUCCAACACCUUGCAAGGGUCUACUCUCCAGCCCAUCCUAGCUAUCAAUCCAUUAUCGAUGAUGUUGUGGGUAGAUCCACUAUCAAUCAAUAUAUUCAAAGGUUUCCUGUGAGAGUACCCCAUAUGUCUAAUUGUUUGAUACCCUUGAGUGCCCCGCAGAACAUGGAUAGAAAUCUCACAAGUUUCAGUAGUUUCCUCCUCACUAGUGAGCCUUCCCCCAAUCCUUCAAUGAGUUAUACUUCCUCCACUAAUUCCAUCAUGUACACCUAUGUUUGCUCUUGCAAAUGUAUCCGGGAUGAAACUUUUCAUCACAUAGGAAACAUAGUCCUUGAGCCCUUUUUUCAUUCAAUUCAACCUAAGUUAGCCUUCUUCUUUUAAACUUAUCAGCUUCCACUGGUUGGGUUGGUUUGGGUAGACGGUAAGCAGGUAAAGUUGAGGGUUUAUGGAAGUGCAGAAACUGGUUUUAUCUAGGAUUAGAGUGUAGAAUGGCUUGUUUCAUAGCUUUAGACUGUUUAGCAAAUAUGGAUUCCUGGAGCCUAACCAGAUGAUAAGCUUGGGGGGGUAAGGAAUAAGGCUUCAAAAUCCUUACUGCAUCUCCUAAUUUAGGUUUAUGCCCUUCUAAUACUUUGCUCAUAGCAUAACCAGGUUCCAAAUUGAGCCUUGUAAUCGCUCUGUUAAAAGCUGCCUGAAACUCUACCACCCCUUCCGUUUGCUUGAGCUUCACCAAUUCACUCAUAUAGUCAUCAAAUUCAGCACCAAACCUGUCUAAUAAGGCCCAAAUGUACUCCUCCCAGCUUAGGUAAGGGAGUUGCAAAUGAGCCCUUCCCCUCAUGUAAGCCCUAUUGCAUUGAAGUGCUAGGUCAUCUAAGUGCAUGGAAGUCACCCUUACCCUUUUGUAAUGGGAAACAUUGUCCAUUGAAAGAAAUUGUUCGAUAUGAUACCACCAAUCUUGGAACCCUUUUCCUCCAAACCUUAGAAACCCAAUCAUGUAUUGUCUCAGAAUAAAGCAUGGUUGCUGGUGGUUCCACCCAGUGUAGUAAUAUUCAGGGCCUGGAGUAAACUAGUGUGUGAUCUGAGGUGGGUAUAGUUUGUUUGUGGUUCGUUGGUGCAGGUACAUGGGUAUGUGUACUGGGUUAGUAAUGGAACAUGGAAUAGAGCAAGAGAUCUGACCAUUGGUUCCGAUAGCUAGAGUAAGGUGCUGAGAAUUAGGGGCAGAGAGAGGGUGAAAUUGAAAGGCUGAACUAGGUAUAUAUUGAGAGUGUAUAGACUGGGUGAAUUGGGAGGUGCAGUUGAAGAAAAAUUGUUUGCUGGUUGGAAAAUAGGUGCGUGAAGUGAAGUAGGGGUAGGCAAGGUUGACGAUGGGGAAAUUUGACUGGAGCUAGGGUUCUUAUUCAUGGGUAAUUGCAGCGGCAUGAGCCUAUUUCCUCUGAUAUUGGAAUUCAAAGGAGGAAAAGAAAUAGGUUCAUCAAUACCCAAAUUUCGAAGGGUCCGUCAGUUUGGGAAUACUGCUCCUCUGUAUUGGACACAUCAGAAAUGCUUCUUUCCCUCGAUCCAAGUUGCUACCAGCAGUAAGGGUUUCCUUGAGCUCGUAAAAUGCCAUCUCGUUGGCUGAUUCCAACUGGUUCUGCCUCAAAUUAACAUUCUCCAAUUCAAUGGCUACUCAAUCUAAUCGAUUGAGUGCCUCAUUGAUUUCCCCUGACAUCAUGUAUCCCACAGAGCAGAAAGUGCUCUGAUACCACUGAUGUGGUUUUGAGAAGAAGAAUAAGAAAAUUGCAGAAGUUAAGCUAAGAAGAAGAGCUAAGAGAUAUUUUCAUAAAUAUGAAUAGAGUAGUGUACAACUUCAGCUAUUACAAGGCUUUCUUAGCUUAGGACUAAAUGGAAAAAUAAAUAACAAGUGGACUGAAAUGUAAAUAAGACAAGGACUAAACUAUAACAUUUAGGAAUUAGUAACUAUUAUAACUAAUUUUAUUCCUAUUCUACUACUAAAGCUUAAAGUACCACUCCCGUCUGCACAGUUCUCAUUCAUGUCAUAUUAGUUGGUCGUGGAAGGCUGCUUAUGGGUAGUCAUUUUUUUCUUUAUUGUCUUAGGGUUUAAGUUUGUCCACUCCUUCAGGUGUCUAGGAAAUGGAGAAUGAAUGGUUUUUAUGGUUAGAAUAAAAAUGGGUCAGCUGAUAUACGAGAGGUGAGGGAGGGGUGUGGACGUUAGGAUUCUUUAGGUGAGUUGAAGGCUGGUGGUGGUUGAUCUUGGUGGUGCGGCUGGUUGCCGUUUUAAGAUGGUGUGGUUAGAGGGUCUGUGUUCUGGCGGGUUUUAGGCAGCAAGGUCGGCAACUUGGGUUGGGGUCACAUUUUGGUUCUACUGUGUCUGGAGAUAAGGGGCCGUUGGAAGGCUGUUGUGUUUUUUCUUAAGAGGAUGGGGUGUGAGGAAGAUGAAAUACAGGGGUGGGGUCUCCUGUCAAAAACAGCAAUGAUAAGGUCUAGGGUCUUAGAGUUUAGGUUAUUUUUUGUAUAUUUUUUGGUUAUAUAGAAAGGGUUUUUAGGUUAAGGGGUAUGAGUUUGGUACUAUUAUGCCUUAAAAUUGGGCCAAAGACUAAAAAAAUAGACUACAAGAUUAAAAUGAGAUAAACUAACCCGAGACUAACUCUUUCUUCUAAAUAUACAAUUUAUAAUAUAAAACUAUAAAACUAAUCUUAAUUUUUUGAACUAAACUAUAUUAAAACAUGAAACUAUUUUUGUGCUUUCAAGAUUAUAUAAAAAUAAAAAUAAGGUACUAUUUUUUUAUAUUUUUUAUUUAAAUUUACGAAAGAUACGUAAAUUAAAAUAUUUUUGUAAUUUUUAUUUUUUGUGACGAAAUAAAGUAAAAGAUUCAAAAUUAGUUGAAAUAAAGAUAUUAGGCCUAAACUAAAUAUUACAUGCUAAAAUAUAAAAUCUUGAGGACGAUCAAAAAUCACAUGUCUACAGCUGCCCCUCUUUGACUGGAAAUAGAAAAUAUUUUCAGACGGAGAACGACUAGACAAGUUUUUUGACCAGACCCUUAUUUAGGGAGACCAAGAACUAAGAGGAAGGAGAAUGUGACCGAGCUUUGGUAUUUGAGUUACCUACAUAUCCUUGGAUAUAAAGGAAUCAGGCCACAUGUAGUUCAUAAGUGAAUGAGGUGAUGAAGUAUACCGAGGUGGAGAGCAAAUCGAGGUGUCGUUCCGUCGAGGUUAUGGUCUGCGGUCCUAUCAUUACAUCAAAAUCUAAAAUUGAAAAAUACUAACUAAGCAUGUAAACUAUGAGUUACAAGAUUCCUAUCUAUAAGUGUUCCGAAGUUUGAUCUUAAGUCUUGAAUGGUUCUUCAUGCAGACUUUGUAUUUGAACCUUGACGCUUGCUAGUUGCAGGUGCUAGUUCAUUCUUCUUCAGCUUUUCGAAUCAAACCGAACACACCAUGCUUGUGACUUUAGUCAUGUCUUGAGCAAUCAACCUAUUGUCUCGACUUCUGCAUUUUGAUUUACUUUUUUUCUUUCUUUUUUUUAGACUACUUCUAUUGGUCACCUAGGAUUGUUGACUCACAUUCUUUCCAUGAGCUUCUGCUACUUCUACUUGAAUUGAAUUUUGAAAUGAAUUCCCUCAUUCUCCAAGUGGGUGACUGCUACUGACUUGGAACUUGAAAUAUGUUCCCUUAUUCUUCAGGUAGGCGCCUGAAAUUAGAACAACAAAACAAACAAGAUUUUCUGCCCCAGUUUGCGCUAGAAAGAUUUGUGAGUUGUUAGAAAAACAGUAAACCACUUUUGAUUAGACACACCAUGCUUGUGACUUCAGUCAUGUCUUGAAAAACUCACAUCUUUCAUCAACUUCUGCAUUUGGAUUCACUUCUUGCCUUUCUUUUUUUUUUAUUCUGGAUUGUGACUAAAUUUUGUUGAUCGUCUCAGAUUGUUGACUCACAUUCUUGCCGCGAGCUUCUUUUGUUGCUGACUUGAAUUGCAUUUUGAAGUGAAUUCCCAUGUUUCCAGAUGGGUGCCUGAUUGCCAAAACUUGAAUUGUCUUUCUUUGAAACUUGAAUCUUUUUUCCUUGUUCUCUAGGUGGGGGCCUGAUUGCUGAACUUGAACUGUCUUCCUUUGAAACCGCUUUCCCUUGAAACUUGAACUAUCUUCCCUUGUUCUCCAGGUGGGCGCCUGAUUGUUGAACUAGAACUGUCUUCCUUUGAAACUGUUUUCCCUUGAAACUUGAACUGUCUUCCCUUUUUCUCCAAGUAGGCGUCUGAUUGCUAAAACUUGAAUUGGUUUCUUUUGAAACUGCUUUCCCUAAAACUUGAAAUGCGUUCCCUUGUUCUCUAGGUGGGCGCCUGAUUGUUGAAAUCUGAACUGCUUUUCCCUAAAACUUGUUUGCUUUCCUUUGUUCUCUAGAUGGGCUCCUGAUUGCUGAACUCGAACUGAUUCCUCUUGAAAGUUGAGUCGUUUUUCCUUGUUCUCUAGGUGGGCGCCUGACUGCUGAAUUUGGCCCGCUUUCCCUUGAAACUUGAGCAAAUUUCCAUUAUUCUCUAGGUGGGCGCCUGAUUGUUGUACUUGAACAACGUUUCCCUGAAACUUGAGAUAUUUUCCCUUGUUCUCAAGGUGGGAGCCUGAUUGCUGAACUUAAGUGCUUUCCCUUGUAACAUUAACUUUCUUCCCUUGUUCUCCAAAUGGGUUCCUGAUUACAAUAAAACAGACAAAACAAAAGAAAUUUAUAUGCCCCGGUUUGAUAUCAGGAACAUCUAUGAUUGUUAAAUGACUUUUGUUAUCAAAAGAAAUUCUAAGCCAAAUUCCCUUAUCCUGAAGAAUUCAAACCAAAACUCACCUUAAAAGUGAAAACUUGAAAGCUAGAUUAUAUUUUGCAAAAGGUAUAACUCUAGUCAGACCUUGUCAUUUGCGAAGGUCUCAAAACUUACUAAAUCUUGUUAUCCCGGAAGGUCCUAACAACUUACAGUCAAGCCUGUCUAGCACCUCCUUUCCACACGGAGGGUUUCUUCGGAGUAAACGAGAUUUCCUGCACAUGUUUCAAUCAAAGAAAACUUGUGAAUUUAAACAUGGCGGUUGGUUUGUGGCCUUGACUUUGAGAACGAUUGCCCAUUCACUUCCCGUGGUAACUUUGAUUUUAAUUCGAAAGACCUUCCUUGUUUAUUGACUAACCACUUCCUCUUUCACCCUUAUCACAAAAAAUACGUUUAAUCCGUUCAAAACCAACACCCUCUGUCUGUUGCAUUGUUCAUAAAUUAAUAUAUACUGAACCUUUGUGUUUCACAUGAAUCCCAACGAUCGUUGAUUGUUACCAACUCAGUGUACACACUGCUCUUUCUUGACUUAUGCCACUUUGAUGCACUAGCUAGACUCCACUUUGUGCAAUUGGAAAGUUGGUAGCGUAUUUUGAAGUCAUUUCUCACUGGUUUUGACCAAAUUGACUCAUAAGAGGAUUUGAACAGCAAAAGUAGCAGAUUAAGGGACAAUGGAAAGACAUGAGAUCUACCAAGAAAAUUACAAAGUAGAAACUUAUCAGAUGUGGAUACCAACUUUAAUGACCAUGACACGCAUUUUGGAUUAAUGGCCUAAUCUGUCAAGAAAGUCUAAUGUUCAACUCUUGUUGUACCUCUUUGCCAUGAAACUGGGCUUCCAUACUCCGAUUAUUCUAUCUGAUUCACAUUCCUUGUUCGAUUUGUGAUGCCCGAAGGGUUUUCACCAUCAUGCCUCUUUCAUUUCGUUCUUUCUCUCAACUCAUUGUCGUUUUAUGGUGCAUGUGUAGGUUUUCACCAAUAAGACUCUCUCAUUUUGUUCUUUUCUUUUUAUUUCCUCUGAUUCGUAUAUGACAAGGAAUUACCCAUAGUAAAAACAUUAUAUGCUUCUGGCAUGUCUAGAUCGACACUCUAAAAGAUUAUAUAGGAGGUCAUUACUGAACCGUAAUGUGGCUUUUGGACAGGGUCAGAAAGAAAAGGAUUUCAUAAAGUCUCAUAUCAACUUGAAUGAGUUCAGCAUUACAACUUUUGGAAUCAGAUCUUUCAUAAACCGCAACUUUUGCCCCAUUUUCCUUGCCUGGUGAAUUUUAAAUUUUUAUUUUGAUAGGACUGAACCGUGAGGCUGUCUACGUAUCCUUAUAAGGAAUUAGGUCAAAUGUAGUUCAUGACAUAUGAAUUGCUUUGGUUUUUGUACUUUUUGUUUCUUUUCUCUCUUUUCUUCUUUUUUCCUUUUCUUUUCUUUUCUUUUCUUUCUUUUGCUUUACUUACUCUUUUUUUCAAUUUCUUUUCUCUUUUCCUCUUCUCUUUUUCCUCUUUCCUCCUUUUUUAUAUAUCUUUUGUAUCUAUGUUUCUAAACUUUGCCAAUGAUUCCAAAAGAGGGGUAUGAAAGAAAACAAAUAAGGCCCAAAAGGGGUAACAAAGGAUAUAGUGUUUAGAUAGCAGAAAGAGGUCUUCCCAAUCUUUUAAGAAUACUAAGUGCAACACAUGCAACCUGAAGAUGAAAAAUCAAGAUCAUGCCUGGCAUUUUGUUUGCAUCAUCGGCAUUCGUAUCACAGAUAUGCCUUCCACCUUUCUUUAGUUCUUUAUCAAGUACAAAGCUCUUCUUGGAUGACAUCUACAUCAAAAUAGAUGUGCUCCAUCAAUUUAGAGCAAACUCCCUUGGCUUUAUGUUGUAACUUGAGAUGCACUUGAACUGAAAGUUGCUUGCUUUAAAUUGUCUGGGAUGUACUUUCUUGUAAUAAAUUCUUGUCAUCCUCUUAACUUCCCAAACCAUCUGCCCAGUUUCAACAAUUUAGGCUUUAAAUGAUCUCAAAAUAUCCAAAUCUAUACUUAUUUCCCUCAAAUGUCCCUAUCAUUUUCAAACUUGUUUCAUCACUUCAUGAUUAAACUAACUUUUAAGACCAGGCCUAGAAUUAUGUGUGCAUGUCAUGUCACUACAGCCAUCAUGAAAAGAACUAUAAAAGGAGAAGAGAACUAAAAAAAAAAUGACUAGAAACAACAGAAAGUAGAAAACUGCAUUAGACAAAUGGUGAAAAAGUGGGAACAACAUAAACUAGGGUUACAAUCCUGGAAGAAACCUAGAUAAUGCUAAAAGAGCUACUACGACUAAACAAACUAGGAAAAAUAAAAGGAUAGAAGGUUUUAAGUCACAAGACAAUAUCUGGAUUACAACCCUGAGAUAACCCAGACAAUAGAAAUGACCACAAAGUAAACUACUGAGAUUCCUUCCGGCUAGCCACGAAAGGAGCAUCUUUCCAAUCGCCAAGCUCAGCAUCUUAGCCACUGAGUUCCGCAUCAAGAGUACUAGGACCUUCGCAAGUCUCCAUCACAUUGACUUUAGCAAAUUGUGUUUGGGUCCCUUUUGCUAGCUUGUUCUUCAGAUCAACCUCCGAAACCGAGACUGAUAGCGCUGAAAGCUUUGCAGAAAAUGGCCCUCCGAGGAUCAAAAAAGAAUUUUCAUAUUCAUUUUAAACAUGAAUCAUACCCAUCAUAUGCGUCUCAUUAUGAGCAGGCGAUGUACUUUGACUAGCAUCUACUACAUCUAGAUUUUGCACGACAAUGUCACCUGCCUCAAUAAGCUUCUAAGCUGCUCUUUUAAAAUGCCAACACUUUUCUAUGUUGUGACCUGGGGAACUAGAACAAUGUGCACACUUUUGGGAAUAAUCAAAAUUCUUUCGAAGUGGGUUCGACAUUUUUACCUGAAUCGGCUUCAUCAUGUCCAAUUGCCUCAACCUUUAGAAUAAACUGGCAUAUGAUUCUCCAAUAUGAGUGAAAUUCUUUUCUUUUUUUUUUUGUUUCCUUUUCAUUUUGUACUAUGGCCUUGGUUGGAACCUUUUGCGAGUAAGUGGUUGAUAUUUUUGAGGAGGUGGGUAAGAUAUUUGCGGAAAUGGUAUGGUCCACCGUGGGUCCUGUGGAUGUGGAGCAUAUGGUGGUUCAUUGGGGAUGGAGUACUGGCAAGGUGAGGUAUGACUUUGGCGUGGAGAGAAGUAGCAACAAGGAUAUCCAUGGGGUUGAUAUUGAGGCGGAAAGCGUUGAUCAGGAAUGCCCGCUGGAUCCUGUCGUGGUUGGAGCUCAACAACAUCUUUUCUAUUUCUCUUUCCUGUCGUGGUUGGAGCUCAACAACAUCUUUUCUAUUUCUCUUUCUUCCACCCAAACUUACUGAGAUGUUGUAAACGUCUUUUGUAGUAUCUUUCAAUGUAGAAUAACUCAUGAUUUUUCCUUACUUAACUCCUUCCUCUACCACCUCCCCCAUUUUUAUCACAUCACUGAAAGGUUUACCCAAGGCUGGGAUCAAAUGACUGAAGUAGGUGGGCCCCUAGGCUUAUUGGAAAAGCUCAACCAUUUUUUCUUCACUAAUCAGAAGGGCUGACCCGAGCAGCUUGUUCACUCCAUCUGAGCCCAAACUCCUUAAAAUUUCUUUUCUAUCUUAGAUAGGGACGAACAGUCUAGGAUAAUGUUUAGAUUGUACUGAAAGUGUCGAACAAAUUCUUGAGCCAUUUCAUCCCAUGCAUGCCACUUAUUGACAUCUUGACAAGUAUACCAUUGCAAGGCUGCCCAGUCAAGCUCCCACUGAAAUAUGCCAUCAACAAAUCAUAUUUGCUGCCAACACUUCUUAUUUCAUUGCAAUAACCCUUCAGAUGGGCCAUUGGAUCUCCACGCCCAUCAUACAAGUUAAACUUUAACAUUUUAAACCCGGCGGGCAGAUGAGCAUUAGGGAACAUACACAAAUCAUUGUAAGACAUGUUAAUCUUAUUUUCCAACCCUUGAAUGCUCCUUAAGGGUUAUUCUAUACCUUUCAGCUUCCUGGAUAUCUCAUCUUGCCCUUCUUUUCUUGUGAACUUUUUAUUUUCAACAUGAGGAUCAUUCUGAGGGCUCUGAUUGUAUGAGUUAGGAACCUAGCGGGAAACCUCUGAGGGGUAAUAUUGGGCAUCAUGAGCUUUGAGUGGGUGUUCAUUGUUUGAUCUAUGCGGGGAAGAUUGUUGAGAAGUUGUGAUCAUAGGGAUAAUGGAUAUGACAGGAGGGCAAUUUUGGGGAAAGGUAUAUGGAGGACGAGUGAUGGAGCAACUAGGGUUAUUGGGAAAGCUAUGAUAAGCAGGUAGAUUUGGAGAGUACGGGGGAUCAUCUGGCACUAUUACCAGAGCUUGGGUAAGAGUAGCUUCUAAGAAGCUAUAUGGUGGCCGGGGUGGUGCCUUCCCAGUCAUCCGAGCUUGAUACAUAUCCGCCAUACCACCUUCCUAGUCAUCCAAGCUUGAUACAUGUCCGCCAUAUGUUGUCUUAACUUCCUCACCUCUUCAAUCAACCAAUUAUCCUGCUCAACUAAUUUCUUUCUGGCACCGGUGUCAACCAACUCAAUUAUGUUGUUGUCUCCAUUGCCUUUUGACUUUAUAUUGUAGAGAGGAGUUACCACUUUAAUAACCACAAACCAACCACCAUUCUGCUAUAAAGAUAACAAAAUGAACAAAAUGAAGUCAUCAUGUUAGCGUGAGGGCAUUUAACAGCCAAAAAUAUCACAUUACGUGCAAUGCACCUAGCAACAAUUAACAAUUCGAGAAUGACUUCGAGGUCACAUGGCAUCAUACUGAUUUGUUCAUUUCAAUCUCCUCUUUUCUUUUCUAGCACUUCUUAUCUUGCUCAUUUUUCUUCCUUUUCUUCUUUCUGAUUAUCACUCUUUUCUUUCCUCUCACUUCUCACGCCCCGCAAUUCAUCCUUUCUUUUUUCCUUUUCUCUCUCUUUCUUUAAAAAACAAUCGAUCGAACCCUAUGUAGGUUGCCUACAUAAGGUAGUCCAAAAAUAUCGGGAAUAAAACAAACAAAUUAACAUUCUCUUUUUUUUAACUUAAUGACUGCUCUGACGAAAAAAAGGAUAAUAAAAGAAGCAAUUUUUUUUUUGAAUUUUCUAGAUUUAAUGUUCUAUAUUCUAUUCUUAUCUCAAGCUUAAUGAUGAUAUAUAUAUAUAUAUAUAUAUCAUCAUUAAGCUUGAGAUAAGAAUAGAAUAUAGAACAUUAAAUCUAGAAAAUUCAAAAAAAAAAUUGCUUCUUUUAUUAUCCUUUUUUUCGUCAGAGCAGUCAUUAAGUUAAAAAAAAGAGAAUGUUAAUUUGUUUGUUUUAUUCCCGAUAUUUUUGGACUACCUUAUGUAGGCAACCUACAUAGGGUUCGAUCGAUUGUUUUUUAAAGAAAGAGAGAGAAAAGGAAAAAAGAAAGGAUGAAUUGCGGGGCGUGAGAAGUGAGAGGAAAGAAAAGAGUGAUAAUCAGAAAGAAGAAAAGGAAGAAAAAUGAGCAAGAUAAGAAGUGCUAGAAAAGAAAAGAGGGCCUAGAUGAGAAAGAUAUUUUUGUUUUUCAGGAAGAAAAUCUAAUGAAUAAACCGAAGAAAAAUAUCUUGAAUUUUCAUUUGAUUUCCUAAAGAAAGAUUUUGAAACGAGAAAUAAAAAAAUAUUUUAGGAUUUUAGUUUUGAUUACCUAAAGGAAAAAAAUCUAAAGAUUAAACAAAAUAUAAAGUAUAUUUUUUACUUAUAUACAUAAUGUCCUAAAGUUCUAGUGAAAAUAAAAAUUUUGUUUUAUUAGUUUUUGAAAGAAGAACCUCAAAAAAAUCUUUUUGGAUUUUGGAAUUUAUAUCUUAAAUAAAACUUGUAAAGAAAUAUCAAAAGAGAAAAAUCCCAUUUUUUUUUGAGUUUUUAGUCCUAGUAUCCUAAAGGAAAUGUAAAAGUAUUUUUUUUAGUUCUAGAUAUUAAUUUUCUAAAGGAAAAACCACCUCAAAAUUUCUUCUUAUUUUUUAAAUUUCUAGGAGUAGUAUUCCUAGAGAAAAUCCUAACGGAAAUAUAGAAAUGAAAAAUAUCUUUUUUUGGAUUUUAGAUUUAUAAUAAAUUUUUCAAAUGUAAAAUAGAAAAUAAUAACAAAAGACUCGACAAACUUAACUAGACUAUGAUAGACUCUAGCAUCAACUAAAUGACCAAUACUAGUGUAUAUGACUAGAAGUAAAACAUGAACAAUAGACUCAAAAACAUAAAAAGGCAACUGAGGCAGCUCCUUAUUGCAGUGGUCCUGGGAUAUAUGUCAUGCUCAAACUCCGGUAAGUAGAUCUACACAUGUAUGAGAAAACUGAAACCAAUACUAUGUGAGACAAUAACAAUCCCUACUAGACACAUGCAAGACAUAGUUGUAAAUAUUUUUCUAAAAUUAACCUAUGUGGCUAAUCCCUUUGAUAGUUAUUUAUGGUAGUUACUAUCUGGUAUAUUUGGAUGCUAUUUUAUUUAUGGUUCUUAUGUUUAGAUAAUUAUUUACGCUAUUUCUGCUGGAGUUACUAAUGCUCUUUUGUUUUGGUUUUUAUUUUUCCUUUCCUCCACUGAGCCGAGGAUUGAUUGGAAACAGCCGCUCUGCCCUUUCGGGUAGGGGUAAGGCCCGUUUACAUAUUACCGUCCCCAGAUCCCACUUUGUGGGACUAUACUGGGUAGUUGUUGUUGUUGUUGUUGUUAACCUAUGUGGCUAAAAGUAGCUAAAAAUACAAGAUUUGGCUAAGACCCCACGAAGCAAGAACUCAAACUUACUGAGAAGACCGGACCCUAUGUGGGUUGCCUACGUAUCAUGCCUCGAAAGAUGAAAAUCAGGUAUGCGUAGUUCUGGAAGAUUGGAUUCGGGUGAGAAAUAUAAAAAAAUAACUAAUUUAGAGAAAAUAUGCUUUUGUCUUUUUUUUAAAAAAAAGAAUGAAAUAUGUAAACUCUUUUUAAAGUUUCUCUUUCUUUUUUUGUUUUGAUUGGUUUUUUUAAAAAAUGAUGGGGAAAGUGUAGAAUCUUUUUAGAUUUUUUCAUUUUUUUUUCUUGGAAAAGUGUCAAAGAAAAUUAUAACAGGGCCCUUCUUGCAUCUUUUUUAUACUUAACCUCUUUUCUUUCUCAUUUAUCCUCAACAUUCAUUGGUCUACCAAAUGACCAUUUUUACCCUUGAAGAUUGCAACAUGUAUCACAUUAGGAUACAUCAGGAUGGUGUUUUAUCCCCUAACUCAAAUGCACAUGAUGCAAACAAAUGCUCCUACUAGGGAUCCGGCAUAAGGUUAUGUUAUUCUAGGUUUAAACCUGGGUUUGUGUUCUUGACCUGGCUUACCUGAGCGGACAACUCGAGCCGAAGAGGGGGCAACAUAACGGGGGCACUAAUGUCUACCAAGCCUUGUUGUUGGCCCAACCUCGUUCUAAUUGGUAUCACUUCUACAUAAAAAGCGGGUCACGCGAACGUGUGCACCAUUUUUAGAAGACUCAAAGGUGUCACGACCCGAGUUCAACCACCAUGAACAUGACGUGAUGACACCUAGUCCCUACGAUUAGGUAAGCCUAACAGUGCGGAAAUAAAUAAUUAAAAGAUAAACACCUAAGAGAAACUGUAUAUAAGUGUCGCCUGGCAUACACAAAUCAACAUCACGAACAUCUAUAACAACAUCCCAAAACCCAAAAACUCACGGGAAACACAGGCUAAUAGAAGAGUAAUACACUACUCUAACUCCAGAAUGUCUAAACAACUGAAAGAAGGAAAAGACUAUCUAUUAAAACUGGAAUAAGAUGGAGACUCCUGGUCUGCAGACGUGGAAGAAGAACCUCGAAGUCUCAGCUAGAUCUCUCUGCCACGAGAGUGGGUGGAGCUACCUUGAUCUGCACAUGAAAAACAUGCACAGAAGGUGCAUGAGUACACCACAACGGUACUCAGUAAGUGCCAAGCCUAACCUCUGCCGGCUAGUGAAGAGGGAGGUCAGGGCCUUGCUGAGAUAAAACAUAAUAAAUGAUAAAGUAAAGAAAACAGUAUAGAUAAGUCUAGAGUCUAAAUAGGAUAUAUAAGGAAAAAUAGUGGUAGAAAGCAGAAACAUAAUAAUAUAAGGAAAUACUGCUCACAACAGGAAUAACAACCGGGGAUCUCUUGGUAUCCCGAGAAUCUCCUGGUAUCACCAUCAUAUUUGCGAGAGAUCUCUUGGUAUCCCGAUGAUCUCUUUGUAUCGUCAAUAGGUAAGUUGGGGAUCUCUUGGUAUCCCGAGGAUCUCCUUGUAUCCUCAGUAUAUACAAAUACAUGUGCCAGGGAUCUCUUGGUAUCCCGCACCCUCAAUCCAGAAUAUAUCAAGUACAUGGGGAUCUCCUGGGAUGUCGUACCAUAGUCCCCAAAUUUAAAACACACAAUAACAACUCGAACAUUAGGAUAAAUGCUAAACUAAUAAUAAGUAAUAGUAAAUUCUAGACUAACAUGCUUCAUGGAGUGCAAACAAAAUAGUCUAAAUAAAUAGGCAAGUAAGUCAAUUAAACAUGCUUCUCUAAACUAAUACAGGUAAACUUGCAAUUAGAAUAAGUAGUAAGCAAGAAAACUCAAUUUAAAUACUUCAAGUAAAAAAUGGAUUUUUCAACAAUUAGCUCAAGCACGCGCUCGUCACCUCACAUACAAGACAUUCAAAUAUAAAAUAUCAUGUCAUAAGGGGAAAGGUCCCACACAUAAGGUUAGAUAAGUCACUUACCUCGAACUGGCACAAAAAUCAACUAGAAACCAUGUCUUUGCCACGAGUAUCCGACUCCAAAUGACCCAAAUCUAUUUAAUUCAAUUAUAAAUCGUAAAUAACAUCGCAAGAAGAUGAUUGUACUAUUUAAUUCAAAGCUAAGCACAAAAUUAGGUAAAAUGACCAAAAUUCCACUCUGGCUAAUGUCUUGGAAUCGGAUAAUUCUUAUAUUUUCAGAACCCCCGUACUCUCCGAGUCUUACCAUAUAAAUAUUUCCCAAAUCGGAGGUUAAACACCCACUCAAAACAAAAUAGUUUGGUCUAUGAUGUUUUCCCCAUUUUUCAUUUUGAAAUCCAAAUUGAGGAUGAAUUCGCGAUUAGAUUAGUUGGUUUUAAGCACAAGGGAGUAGAGCAUCGUUACCCAAUAGUUGCCCUAAAAAAACCUUCAAAAUUUCCCAAAUUCGAGCUCCCAAGCUUAUAUAAUGAUAAAAAUGGCUAACCAUCAGUUUUGAAAUGUUUAUAACUGUUCGGAAUUUUAAAGCAUCGCGAACGCGGAGGUGAUCUCACGUUCGCGGAAAAGAAAAAUAGAAGUUUCCAAAAAUGCCCUUCGCGAUCGCGAGGGGGAGAACGCGAACGCGAAGGCCUGGGACCACGAAGCUACGCGAACACGACAUCUGGAAUGCAAAACCGAUGAAGAAAAUAGCGAGGUACAGAAGUUACCCUACGCAAACGCGUGAGAGUGUUCGCAAACGCGAAGAACGGACUAGCGUAGCUACGCGAACGUCUAGCAGCUUAUGGGAACGUGAUGGGGAAGUAAGAUGGGCUUCGCAAACGCGGGAAGGAUUAUGCUAAUGCGAAGAGAAAAAUUCCACGUGGUCAAGAUAAGCCUUCUCGAAUGCGAAGGGCUGCUCGCGAACACGAUAGAGGCAUACGACAAGCAACAAGAAUAGUUCAAAAAUAGGAGGAAAUGGCCCGUUGAGCAUCCAAAACACACCCGAGGCCGCCGGGACCUCAACCAAACCUACGGACAUAUCCCAUUACAUCACUCAAACUUAUAACAAUACUUAAACCACCUAAAACAAUGCCGAAAACUCAAAUUAAUUAAGGAUUUGAGCCUAAGAACUUCAAAUUUUAUCAAAACACACUUUCGAUCAAAAAUCUAACCAAAACAUGUCCGAAUGACCUGAAAUUCUACACACACAUCCCAAACGAUAUGUUGUAGAUACUGCAACUUUCGUAAUUCCAUUCCGACACUCGGAUAAAAAACUCACUAUCGGAGCGGAAACUUCCAAAAUUCAAUUUUUGGCAUUUCAAGCCUAAAUGAGCUACAGACUUCCAAAAUGCAUUCUGAACACGCUCCCAACGGCGAAAUCACCUAAAGAAGCUAAUAAAGCCAUCGGAUUUCCAUUCCGAGGUCGUCUUUACACUGUUCUAACUACAAUCACUUUACAACACCUAAGCUCUCAUUUAGGGACUAAGUGUCCCAAUAUUCUCCGAAACUCAACACCGAAUGUUCCAGCAAACUAAAAUAGCAUAAAUGAACUUAGGGGAAACAGUUAAUAGGGGAUCGGGGCGUUAAUUCUUAAGAUGACGGGUUGGGUCAUCACAUCCACCUACACUUAAAUAUCCAUUCGUCCUCGAACGAGCAUAGAGAACAUAUCUGAAGUAUUAGAAAGAUGAGGAUAUCGGUUACGCAUAUACCGCUCGAUCUUUCAAGUUGCCUCCUCGGCCGGCUGACCCCGCCAUUUAACCUUUACUGAAGCAAUGUUCUUUGACCUCAACUUUCUGACAUGCCUAUCCAGUAUAGCCAUUGUCUCCUCAACAUAGGAUAGAUCCUUGUCCAACUGGACUGAAAUCCAACACAUGCGACGAAUCACCCUGAUACCUCCGGAGCAUCGAAACAUGAAAUAUCGGAUGAACCCCGGCCAAACUUGGAGGCAAGUCAAGCUCAUAAGCAACCUCCCCAACACGCCUCAAAAUCUCAAGAAGGCCAAUAAACCUCAGUCUCAGCUACCCUUUACUCCCAAAUCUCAUAACGCCCUCCAUAGGCGAAACCUGAAGUAGAACCCGUUCUCCGACCAGAUACGUAACAUCACGAACCUUCCGGUCCGCGUAACGCUUCUGUCUAGACUGGCUGUAUGGAGUCUAUCCUAAAUCAUCUUGACCUUCUCCAAUGCAUCCUGAACCAACUCUAUGCCCAAUAGACUGGCCUCACCCUGCUCAAACCAACCCACCGGAUAUCUUCACCUCCUACCAUAUAAAGCCUCAUACGGCGCCAUCUGAAUAUUGGAUUGAUAAUUUUUUUUGUAAGCAAACUCAGCCAAUGGCAAGAACUUAUCCCAGGACCCUCCAAACUCAAUCACAUACGCACGGAGCAUAUCCUCAAGAACCUAAAUAAUGCGCUCAGACUGUCCGUCCAUCUGGGGGUGAAAUGAUGUGCUCAACUCUACCCGAGUACCCAACUCCACCCGAGUACCCAACUCCUGCUGAAUGGACCUCCAAAAUUGUGAUGUAAAUUGAGUACCUCUGUCUGAAAUAAUAGAAGAUGGAAUACCAUGCAGACGAAUAAUCUCCCGGAUAUAAAUCUCUGCCAACCGCUCCGAUGAAUAAGUAGUACACACAGGGAUAAAAUGAGUGAACUUGGUCAGCCAAUCCACAAUCACCCAAAUGGCAUCAAACUUCUUCGCAGUCAGAGGGAGACCAACUACAAAAUCCAUGGUGAUCCUCUCCCAUUUCUACUCUGGAAUCUCUUUCUUCUGAAGCAACCCACCCGGUCUCUGGUGCUCAUACUUCACCUGCUGACAGUUGAGAAAUCUAGCUACAUAUUCAACUAUAUCCUUCUUUAUUCGCAUACACCAAUAGUGCUGCCUCAAAUCCCGAUACGGUGCCUGGAUGGAAGGAAUACCGCGAAUUGUGGGCCUCUGCUAGAAUCAACUCCCGAAGCCCAUCAACAUUGGGAAAACAAAUCCGACCCUGCAUCCUCAAUACUCCGUCAUCUCCAAUGGUCACAUCUCUGGCAUCAUCAUGUUGAACCGUGUCCCUGAGGACAAGUAAAUAAGGAUCAUCAUACUGCCGCUUCCUGAUACGAUCGAACAAUGAAGAGCGAGAGACCACACAGGGUAGUACCUAACUAGGCUCUGAAAGAUCCAAUCUUACAGAUUGGCUGGCUAAGGCCUGAAUAUCCAUCGCCAUAGGCCUCUCUGAAGCUGGUAAAUAUGCCAAACUCCCUAAACUCACUGUCCGGCAACACAAGGCAUCCACCACCACAUUGGCCUUUACCGGGUGAUACAGAAUAGUAAUAUCAUAAUACUUCAGCAACUCUAACCACCUCCUCUGGCGCAAAUUUAGACCAUUUUGCUUGAACAAGUGUUGCAUACUCUGCUGGUCAGUGUAAAUCUCACAAGGCACACCGUACCAGAUCUUCAAGGCAUGAACAAUAGCAGCUAACUCAAGGUCAUGGACAAGGUAAUUCUUCUCAUAUAUCUUUAACUGUCUGGACGUGUAGGUAAUCACCCUAUCAUCCUACAUCAACGCUACGCCAAGGCCAACCCAUGAGGAAUCACAAUAAGCUGUAUAGGACCCCGAACUAGUAGGCAAUAUCAAAAUAGGGGUUGUAGUCAAAGCUAUAUUGAGCUUCUGAAAGCUUGGAUCACACUUCUCUGUCCACUGGAAUAGAGCACCCUUCUGGGUCAAUCUAGUCAUAGGGCUGCAUGCGAUGAAAACCCUUCCAUAAAACAAUAGUAGUAACCCGCCAAGCCAAGGAAACAGCGAAUCUCUGUAGCUGAGGAGGACCUGGGCCAACUCUGCACGGCCUCUACCUUUUUCAGAUCCACCCAGAUGCCCCACUCGAUACCACGUGGCCCAAGAGUGCAACAGAAGUCAACCAAAAGUCACAUUUUUAGAACUUUGCAUAUAGCUUCUUCUCUCUCAAGGUAUGAAGCACGGUUCUUAGGUGUUGCUCAUGAUCUUCCCGACUCCGGGAGUAUACAAGAAUAUCAUCUAUGAAAACANNNNNNNNNNNNNNNNNNNNNNNNNNNNNNNNNNNNNNNNNNNNNNNNNNNNNNNNNNNNNNNNNNNNNNNNNNNNNNNNNNNNNNNNNNNNNNNNNNNNNNNNNNNNNNNNNNNNNNNNNNNNNNNNNNNNNNNNNNNNNNNNNNNNNNNNNNNNNNNNNNNNNNNNNNNNNNNNNNNNNNNNNNNNNNNNNNNNNNNNNNNNNUUCAGGGUCUAAAGCAGUGUCCUCAGGUGCUGCUCAUGAUCUUCCCGACUCCGGAGUAUACAAGAAUAUCAUCUGUGAAAACAAUGACGAACGAGUCGAGAUAGGUCCUGAACACACUGUGCAUCAAAUGCAUAGAGGCUGUUGGGGCAUUGGCCAGCCCAAAUAACAUAACAAGGAACUCGUUAUGACCAUGCCGAGUCCUGGAGGCAGUCUUUGGGAUAUCUGGCUCCCGAAUCUUCAACUGGAGAUAACUUGAGCGCAAAUCAAUCUUAGAAAACACAUGUGCACCAUGAAGCUGGUCAAAUAGAUCAUCAAUACGAGGAAAAGGAUAACGGUUCUGUACUGGAACCUUGUUAAACUGGCGAUAAUCGAUACAUAUACGGAUAGAACAAUCCCUUUUAUUAGCAAACAAGACAGAAGCAUCCCACGAUGAAACACUAGGUCGAAUAAAACCCUUAUUAAGCAAUUCCUAUAAUUGGUCCUUCAACUCUUGCAACUCAGGAGGAGCCAUACAGUAUGGAGGAAUGGAAAUGGGCUGAGUGCUCGGCGACAAAUCAGUGCCAAAAUCAAUAUCUCUAUCUAGCGGCAUGCCUAGAAGAUCAGCUGGAAACACAUCGUGAUAAUCCGUACCACUGGGACCGAAUCAAUUGAAGGGGUAUCAACAUAAACAUCUCACAUAGGCUAGAUACACGGCAUACCCCUUCUCAACCAUACGCUGAGCUUUAAGAAAAGAUAUAACUUUAUUGGGAGUGUGAUCUAAAGUACCACUCCACUCAACACGUGGAAUACCUGGCAUAGCCAGCGUCACGGCCUUGGCGUAUCAAUCAAGAAUAGCAUAAUGGGGUGACAAUCAGUCCAUGCCCAAGAUAAUAUCAAAAUCAACCAUGUUGAGUAACAAUAAAUCUUCUUUGGUCUUAAAACCAUGAAUAAUGACCAAACACGACCGAUAAACGCGGUCCACAAUAAGGGAAUCUCCAAUAGGAGUAGAAAUAUAAACGAAAGAACUCAAAGAAUCUCGGGCUACACUUAAAUGUGGAGUAAAGUCAGAAGACACAUAAGAUUAAGUGAAGCCUGGAUCGAAUAGAUACGAUGCAACUAUGUGAAAAACUAGUAUAAUACAUGUGAUGAUAGAACGGGGGCAACAACAUCGAUAGGAGCAGGAAUAGCAUAAUAUAUGGCAUGUCCUCCCCCUCAAGGGCAACCUCUACCUCCACGACCUCCGCCCCUAGCUGGCUGUGCAUAUGGGGUAGUAGUUGGAGCUGUGAUCAUGGCCUGAGAACUCUACUGAGCGCGUUAUGGCUGAGAAGUCUAUGGAGGUGCACUCCUCCCACGUCUAGGGCAAUCCAUCACCAUAUGGCGGGUGUCACCAUACUCAAAACAAACUCUGGGAGGACAUGGUGGUUGUGAUUGUCUAAUACCAGAUCUGCUGGACUGACCUCUGAAAGCACCCCGCACUGGAGGCGCGCUACAAACCCGGAUGUGCAUAGUGAGGCUCUUGAGGUCUAGGAAGAGCUGGAGCACUACUGGCUAAUGGUAGAGCUGAAUGAAUAGGGCAACCCCUAUAACCCCUACCAUGAUGACCUGCUGCUGGGGUUUGGGCACUAGAGUAGUGGCCGGACUUUCAAGAACUCUUGGCCUCCCUCUUCACUCGCUCCCUGGUGAGCACACCAUCAAUCCUCCUAGCAAUGUUCACUACCUGCUGAUAAGGAAUGUCCAUCUCCAACUCUCGAGCCAUGCUAGAUCUGAUGGGUGGAAUAAGACCCUCAAUGAACCUGCGAACUCUCUCGAGGACAGUAGAAACCAAGGCUGGUGCAUGCCUAGCCAAUCUGGUAUAAUGGAUAGCAUACUCCGAAACGGUCAUAGCACCCUGGCGCAAAUGCUCAAACUCUGUGCGCCAUAUGUCCCUAAGACUCUGAGGGACAAACUCUCUCAUGAACAUAUCUGAAAACUGGGUCCAAGUUAGUGAAGCAACCUCGAUUGGGCUGUCUAUCUCAUAAGUGCACAACCAAUCAUAGGCGGCUCCCCGAAGCUUAAAGGCAGUAAAGGAAACCCCACUGGAUCUAGCUAUACCAUAGUGCGAAAAAUGCGAUGGCACCCCUCAAGAAAUACCAAGGCAUCAUCUGUCAAUCCACUGAAAAUCGGAGGAUCAUACUUCUUGAAUCUCUCCAGCAUCCGUUGUUUAUCCUCAGAAGCAACUGCCCUAUCCUCGUGCUGAACUGGUACUGCAGGCUGCACAUGAAUGAUCUCUGGGACCUUCCCAACAUGUACUCACUACUCAGGAGUGCGGGCGGUGGGAGGCUAUGCUCCUCCCCCAGCAUGGGAUAUGGCUGCAGGAAAGGGAAGCAACCCUGCCUAAGCUAACGCGGUGUACAUACUCAUAAAUUUGUGCCAAAGUCUCCUGAAGGGCUUGACUAGUAGUGAUUGUAGGUGUGUCAGGUGCCUGAACUCCACAACCUCAGCGGUAGCUCGCGUAGCUGCUCCGGCUGCACCACGUGUGCGUCUACGGGCUCUACCCCGGCCCUUACUUCUGACGGCUGCAGGAGGAGGUGCGGGUGCAUGAUCAACCCGAGUAGCAUGUGUCCUUACCAUAUGUGAUAGAAUAGAAGGCAGAAGAUUGGAAUUGAUAUCAAAAAUAUCGCACGACAAGGAAAUCAAUAAAGUGAAGAUUUUUCCUAAAUAAUUACAUAGCCUCUCGUAGAUAAGGACAGACGUCUCUAUACCGAUCAGCGAGAUUUUAAUAAGCUAGCCUAUGUUAUGUGACUCCUAUGCACCUAGAGCUCUAAUACCAACUUGUCACGACCUCAGUUCACCCACCAUGAACAUGUCGUGAUGGCACCUAGUCCCUACAACAAGGUAAGCCUAAUAGUGCGAAAAAUAAAUUAAAUUAUGCGGAAAAUAAAUAAUUAAAAGAUAAACAGCUAAGAGAAACUGUAUAUAAGUGUUGUCUGGCAUACACAACUCAAUAUCACUAACAUCUAUAACAACAUCCCAAACCCAGAAACUUACGGGAAACACAGACUAAUAGAAGAGUAAUACACUGCUCUAACUCCAGAAUGUCUAAAAAAACUGAAAGAAGGGAAAGACUAUCUACUAAAGCUGGAAUAAGAUGGAGACUCUUGGUCUUUGGACACGGCAGAAGUACCUUAAAGUCUCAGCUAUAUCUCUCCGCCUCGAGAGUGAUACGCCUGGGUCGAGGUACCUUGAUCUGCAAAUGAAAAACAUGUGCAGAAGGGGCAUGAGUGUACCACAGCGAUACUCAGUAAGUGCCAACCCUAACUUCGGUCGGGUACUGACGAGGAAGGUCAGGGCCCUACUUAGAUAAAACAUAAUAAAUGACAAAGUAAAGAAAAGAGCAUAGAUAAUUCUACAGCGAGAGUCUAAACAGGAUAAAUAAGGAAAAAUAGUGGUAGAAAGCAGAAACAUAAUAACAUAAGGAAAUACUGUUCACAACAGGAAUAACAAUUGGGGAUCUCUUGGUAUCCUCAUCAUAUCCUCGAGGGAUCUCUUAGUAUCCCGGGGAUCUCUUGGUAUCCUCAAUAGGUAAUCCGGGGAUCUCUAUCCCAAGGAUCUCUUGGUAUCCUCAAUAUAUACAAAUAUAUGUGCCAGGACUCUCUUAGUAUCCCGCACUCUCAAUCCAGAACAUAUCAAGUACAGGGAGAUCUCUUGGGAUGCCGUCCCGUAGUCCCCAAAUAUAAAACAAACAAUAACAGCUCUAACAUUAGUAUAAAUGUUAAAAUCAUAAUAAGUUAUAGUAAAUUCUAGCCUAACACGCUUCUCUAAACUAAUACAGGGUAAACUUGCAAUUAGAAUAAGCAGUAAGCAAGAAAAAUCAAUUUAAAUACUUUAAGUAAAAAUAGAUUUUUCAAUAAUUAGCUCAAGUACACGCUCGUUGCCUCACGUAUGAGGCAUUAAAAUAUCAAAUAUCAUGUCCUAAGGGGAAAGGUCCCCCAUACAAGAUUAGACAAGCCACUUACCUUGAACCGGCACAAAAAUCAACUAGAAACCAUGCCUUUGCAAAGAGUAUCCAACUCCAAAUGGCCCAAAUAUAUUCAAUUCAAUUACAUAUCGUAAAUAACAUCGCAAGCAACUGAUUCUAUGUAAGGCCCCGUGAAAAUUUGUGCUCAGGCCUAGUACUUAGUGGUUUCGAGUUUUGUGUAUGUGUUGAGAGGGUGUGAAAAUCAAAAGUCGAAAUUUUCCAGAAAAUUGCCAUUUUUAUGGUCCAGAAUGUGGUUGCAGAUCAGAUAUGCAGACCGCAUUUCUGCCGCGGAGUUAAUCGGAGUGUUGGUUGAAAUUGAUGUUAGGAGUACGGUCCAUUAUGCGAUCGCAUAAUCAAUAUGCAGACCGCACAGCCGCCGCAUAACUCCCUCAAGAAAUUGUGAAUGACAGAUCUGCGGUGCAUUAUGCGACCGCAGAACAGGUAUGUGGACCGCAUUCCCGUCGCAUAUCCAGGCAGAGAUGUCCAGUGAUUGGGACACUUCUGCGGUCUAAUUUUCAGACCGCAUUUUAACUCUACGAUCGCAUAGUGCAACCGUAGAUCCUGCUAGGGUUUCUAAUUUUCUAAAAUUUUAAAUCCGACCCCUCUUUAAUAAAAUAUCCCAACCCCUCAUUUUAACAUACUUUCUGAGAAAAAUAAGAGAGAGGGAAGAGAUGGUCCUUGAGAGAGAAAGUUCAUCUUCAUCAAAUUGAUUUUCCAAAGUCACCCAAAACCCGAGGAAAUUUCAAGUAUUGUCUUCAAUUUUGUUCUUGCAGGUAAAAUCCCCAACCCUUUUUCAUUUGUUUUCCCUAUUUAAACAAAAAGGGGGAUUCUCAUGCACUGAUUCUUGAAAACCAAAUGUGGGAUUACACAUGCAUGUUUUAAAAACCUAAGAACUAGUAAGACAAAUAUGGUAGGAGUAAAGAAUUGAACAAAUAGGGGUUGGUAACCAAAAUAGGCUCGGGUAGUAAAAUUGUGAACUUCAUUGCUAAGGCAUAUGUGUUAACCUGUAAAUUAGAUUGAUGUUGCUAGACUGCUUGGUGAGUUGGAAAUAGAAGUUAAAGAGGAAAUUCAGCUCCAAGUAUGUAUGGCUAACUUUGAUCCUUGUAAAAUCGCCUUGUUUGGUGUAUGUAUGCUUUGUAGGUGGUAUGUACGUGAAUUAUUUAGGAAUUUCUUGUGAUUGGUAUGUUUGUGAUUGUGUAAUGUGGUAAGAAUUGAGGAAUAAAUGACUAAAGGAAUUCCUAAAUAAUGCAACUAGAAUAACUAUGGUAACCAUAUUUAUGGCUUGUUGUGGCCAAUUACCAAAGUAACAUAAAACGUAUACGGGUUGUUGAAUAUGAUUGAAAUAGUAUUGAUGAUCGUGGAAACACUUGUAACAUUGUUGUUGUUGUCAUUUCUUGAGAAGCAUUUCCUGUUUAUCUUUGUGAAUUAUUGAUUGUUGUUGUGUGGUUGUGAAUUGUAACUGUACGAUGGGAUCGGGUUGGGCGCUGCAACUCGAAGUAAUAAGGUGUGGGAUGUGGUGAUAAGGGUGGACGAGGUAAUAAGGGUGGUCGAAGUAAUAAGGGUGGAAAGUGAUUGAAAUCACUAUUGAAACAAAAUAUAAGAAAAUUGAGAAACUGUUGAAGUGAAAUCAUGGAAGGGGAAAAUAGGAGAGUUUGUAAACUUGUUUGGCUUGAUUGUACCUUUCAUGUGUGUUUGGUUGCUGCAUCCAUUACUGUCUCCUACUUAUGUAUGGUUUGAGUUUACAUGGAGCAAGUUUGUUCAUACAUACCAGUACAAUUCAAAUGUACUGAAGUCCCAUUUGUCGGGGAGCACUACAUUCGUGUUAUGAUUAUAGGUGGAUCCAUAGCAGGUACUCCAAUCCACCGAUUAUAGCUCCUCAUCACUUCCUGUCAGCUGAAUUGGUGAGCCCCUUUCUUUUCGGGGCCUUGCGUUGCUCACACUACUCCUGUUCUUGUCUUUUGUGAUCUUGUUUUGGUAUUUGUAAAAGGUAUAACCGGAGCUUUGUCACCAACAAGUAUUGUAUAAUCCUUUUUCAUCUUUAGAGGCUCUGUAGAAAGAAAACAUGGGUCAGGAACUUAUGUGAUUUGUACUUUGUAUGCUGGGCGAUGUGAUUUAUAAACCACGCUGAAUAUUAUCUAUGUUAUGUAUGCUUUUGUAAGAAGGUGUUCCAAUUAUAAUUAGCUGUUUCACUUGGUUAAUAAGUAAUGAAAAAUGUAGGGUAACACGUGGGAUAGGAAAGGCACUCAGGUCCCUUAACUGGGGAUACCCGGCCGAGCACCAGUCAUAUCCCUCGAAUUUGGGGCGUGACAUUCUACCAUUUAAUUCAAAACUAAGGCGUGAAAUUAGGUAAAAUGACAAAAAUUUCCCUCAUGCUAACAUCUUGAAAUCGGAUAAUUUUUACAUUUUCAGAACCCUCGUACUUUCAUGAGUCUAUCCAUAUAAAAAUCUCCUAAAUCGGAGGUCAAACACCCAAUCAAAACUCAAUAGUUUAGUAUAUAAAGUUUUCCCCAUUUUUCAUUUCAAAAUCCAAAAUUGAGGAUGAAUUCACAAUUAGAUUAGUGGGUGUUAAGCAUAAGGGAGUAAAGAAUUGUUAUCCUCUAGUUGCCCUAAAAAAAACCUUCGAAAUCUCUACCAAAUCCGAGCUCCCAAGCUUAUAUUUUGAUAAAAAUGGCUAACCAUCAGUUUUGAAAUGUUAAUAACUGUUCAGACUUUUAAUGCAUCGCGAAUGCGAUGUGAUCUCGCGUUCACGUAGAAGAAAAAUAGAAGUUGCCAAAAAUGCCUUUCGCGAUCGCGAGGGGGAGAACGUGAAUGCGAAUGCGAACGCCUGGGACCACAAAGCUAUGCGAACGCGAUGAAGAAAAUAGCGAGGUCCAGAAGUUACCCUAUGCGAACGUAUGAGAGCGCUCGCGAAUGCUUAGCGUAGCUACGUGAACGCGUGGCAGCUUACACGAAUACGAUGGGGAAAUAAGCUGGGCUUCGCGAAUGUGGGGAGGAUUAUGCAAAUGCAAAGAGGAAAAUUCAAGGUGGUCAAAAUAAGCCUUCGCGAACGUGAAGGGCUGCUUGCGAAUGCGAUAGAGGCAUACCAGAUGCAGCACACCAGUUCAAAAAUAGGAGGAAAUGGUCCAUUGAGCAUCUGAAACACACCUGAGGCUCCCGGGACCUCAACCAAAACUACGAACAUAUCCCAUAACAUCAUUCAAACUUGUACCAAUCCUUAAACCACCUAAACCAGCGCCGGAACUCGAAUUAAUCAAGGAUUUGAGCCUAAAAACUUCAAAUUUUAUCAAAACACGUUUCGAUCAAAAACCUAGCCAAAAUACGUCCGAAUGACCUGAAAUUUUGCGCACACAUCCCAAACAAUAUGACGGGUCUAUUGCAACUUCCGGAAUUCCAUUCGAACCCUCGGAUCAAAAACUCACUAUCGGACCAGAAACUUCAAAAAUUUAAACUUCGACAUUUCAAGCCUAAAUGAGCUACGAACUUUCAAAAUUCAUUCCGAACACGCUCCCAACCCCGAAAUUACCUAACAGAGCUAACAGAAUCAUAGAAUUUCCAUUCCAAGGCCUUCUCCAUAACAUCAUUCAAACUUGUACCAAUCCUUAAACCACCUAAACCAGCGCCGGAACUCGAAUUAAUCAAGGAUUUGAGCCUAAAAACUUCAAAUUUUAUCAAAACACGUUUCGAUCAAAAACCUAGCCAAAAUACGUCCGAAUGACCUGAAAUUUUGCGCACACAUCCCAAACAAUAUGACGGGUCUAUUGCAACUUCCGGAAUUCCAUUCGAACCCUCGGAUCAAAAACUCACUAUCGGACCAGAAACUUCAAAAAUUUAAACUUCGACAUUUCAAGCCUAAAUGAGCUACGGACUUCUAAAAUGUAUUCUGAACGCGCUCCCAACCUCGAAAUCACCUAACGGUUCUAACGGUACCAUCAGAUUUUUGUUCCGAGGUUGUCUUCACACUGUUCCGACUACGGACCACUUUUCAAAGCUUAAGCUCUCAUCUAGGGACUAAGUAUCCCAAAACUCUCCGAAACUCAACACCGAACGUCCAGACAAACCAAAAUAGCAAAAAUGAACUUAGGGGGAGCAGUUAAUAGGGGAUUAGGACGUUAAUUCUUAAGACGAACAACCGUGUCGCCACAAGAAAUGUGGCGUAAGAAGACAAUUAUAUAAAAUUCAAAUAAUAUCAAAGCGAUAAAUAGACGGCAAUUAGCACAUUAAGUUCACAAAUACAGUACUAUUAAUAAUAAAUAAAUCCAAGUAAAAAAUCAUAUUAACAAGCUCGAAUUCUUGAAUCUUGAACCAGAAGUUCGGGGUUUUUGUCCCUAGUGGAGUUGUCAGAGCUGUCACAUCUCCUUUUUACUACCCCGGAAGGUUAUAAGGGAGUUUUUUCCAAUUUAAGUGAUAAUCGAAACAGGAUUAUUUAAACUAAAAUCAGAGUCGGUACUUGAGAUAAUUUAUGGUGUCCCAAGUCACUGGUUAAAAUCUCGAAUCGAGGAAGUAGAAUCUACGGUCUUCGAAUACAGAAAUUUGGGUAAGGAAUUCUUUUAACCCGGAAGAAGGUGUAAGGCAUUCCCGGGUUCCGUAGUAUUAGCACAGUCGCUUUGAUCAUACUCAGCUUAAUUAAAUUAUCUAAUUACUUAUUUUAGAACCUAUGCACACUUGCCUCUUUUAAUUAAGGAAUUAUCUUAAAACGGGUCACGCGCACGUGUGUCCAUUUGUUUGGCGCGUCAAAAAAUCAUGUCACGCGAACGUGUCCAUAAUUAAUAACGCCUUGUCAUUAUUAAGAAAGUUUAGUCGAAGUUGCGCGAACGCAUACUCCGAUUUAUUUUUAAGAUCGUAAUUAUGUCACGCGAACGUGUAAACCAUCACGAUGGUAGAUUAAGUUGCGCCUAAAGCAUUUUCUACGAGUAUUCAUUUAUUUUAAAAAUCGUAUUCUUGUCAUGCGAAUGUGUACGUAGUUAAUAAUAUUUUAUCAUUAAGAGUGUUUCGUCCGAAGUUGCGCGAAUGCAUACCUUGGUUUGUUUAUCAACUUCUAUUUCCAUUACUUUCCUUGUAAAAAUACCCAACAAGAGCUCAUCUAAUCCAACUCUAUUGACUAAAUUGUCUAUGUCUAACGGAAAUGCAAGCUAUUCUUCAAUCAGCAGAUCGGCUCUCUUCCAUUUUCCAGACUGACGCACAAUGAAAUGAGUUAGAUUUUAUAUACUUGCAAAGCAGUCCGGCAGCAUGAUAUACUAAUGAUAAAGGCAAGAAAUCAUUAAUAUAGACAAUCACAAAAUAACUAAGCUGUUUUUCUUAUUCUACUAUAAUUGGGAGCAUUUGCCAAAUCCAAUAUUUCCUUAUGGUCCAAAAACUCCAACCCGGAAACAACGGGAUUUUUCAAUAUUCGCUUUACUUCAUCACAAACAAAAAACUCAUAGUAGAAGACAAAGCUAAAUGAAGGAAACAAAUCAUUACAGUACUAUAUUAUACUACUGAUAAUACUCAAAUAUACUUACUAUAGAUUACUUCAGAUAAGGCAUAAUCUCAAAGCAAAUAAAGUGUAAAAAGAAAGAUUUGAAUUUAACAAUAAAAACGACCAUUUACAGUUGUAAUAAUUCCUAAACACUGACCAAAUGACGUUCUCGAACUGUAAGACCAGAGCUUCAUCGAAAACCUCAACGGAACUACGACCAAACAUCUGAUAACUUUUCGGUACAGAGGUGAAAUACAGCAAGUAGGGGUACAAGGAUCUCUCGUGUAAUAAGCUCUAGCUGUGGUAGAAAUGGUCGCUGAUUUCGGUUGAUAGAAUAAGAAGAAGAAGGAGUCAACGCUGGAAGGGUGGUCUUCUGAGGUCUUUGGGUCUCGUUUUCAAGUAGCGAGAUGGAGUGACGAUGGAGGUGAGGAAUCUGAUCGCUGGUGUUGUGUGUGUUGUUGGAGGCUAAUGGUGGUUGAUCUUGGUGGUAUGGCUGGUUGUUGUUUUGAGAUGAGGUGGUUGGAGUUGUAGGGAAAUGACACCGAAAAAUAAUAUAAAUAAUACUGCAAUAAUAUUAUUUAUGAGCGGAAAUACUCCAACUGGCUUGAGUCGUGCUAGGCACUGUCCGAAGAAACUAUUUUAACAAUGUGAAAUGUUUCCCCGGGAUUAAACAAGCCUACCUCUAUUUUAUUUAGAGAAUACAGAAAUCAGCAAAAUUAGAUAAUAAAUCCAGCAAUUUAGAAGAGAAAGAACAACUAAUAUCUUAUGCCAAUUAAAAUAUUAUAGAAGAAGAAAUUAGAAGGAAUUGGACGUAUAAGAGAGAAAGAAGAAAGAAGAAUUUCUUCUUUGCUAAUGAUUAACUUUUUAGUAAUCUAUGAAUGAAUAAUAAUGGCCUAAUCAUGGCUAUUUAUAGACCUAAUGAAAGCUACUUAGAUUGCCAUUUGUUUGAUUGCAUGAAGGAGGAUUGCCAUUUGUCCUUAGUUUCUAGAAAGUUGUCAUAUAUAAAAUUCAUUACAUGCAUAUUGGCACUUGUACUUAUUUAUAUUGAAAAUACUACUACAACCCCCACAUAUUUUCAAAAUAAAAAAAUAGUAUAAUAAGAUUUUGCUGGAUUUCUAUGGUCCAAAUUUAAUAGGUUUGGUGUUUUCAAGACUAUGAACCAAAGUUAUACUAAUAAAACUUAACUCACAGAAGUACUAGUGAAAUAUAAUAUUUCUAUGAACCAAUAAUUCUCAUUGUAAGUCAGAGAUUUUAUCAAUCACAUUUUGACCCCAGGUAAUUUUGCUGUUCAACGCGGUUUUGCGCCCAAUAGGCCAUGCGCGUGCCUGGUUAUUCAUNNNNNNNNNNNNNNNNNNNNNNNNNNNNNNNNNNNNNNNNNNNNNNNNNNNNNNNNNNNNNNNNNNNNNNNNNNNNNNNNNNNNNNNNNNNNNNNNNNNNNNNNNNNNNNNNNNNNNNNNNNNNNNNNNNNNNNNNNNNNNNNNNNNNNNNNNNNNNNNNNNNNNNNNNNNNNNNNNNNNNNNNNNNNNNNNNNNNNNNNNNAUCAUAUAGGUGAAUUCAUCAAGUGUAUACUACUUUUAAAUACACCAUCCAUUAAGGACUAUGAAUUUCAUUAAGAGUUAUAACUCAGCCUCUCUAUUAGUAGCAGUCAAGCACUUUCUUUUAGUGCAUCAUCAUCAAUAUUGACUUUUUAUUACCCGUAUAAACCUACUUCAUGGGAUCUCCAAUCACAUUAGUUGGGUUACCAUCUCUAUUGACAACAUGUCGGCCUUAUCCCCAUCUCUUUUGAGGUUUAAAGAAUUAAUUUUCUUCCCGCGGGUUUAGUCAGAGGAUCGGCCAAAUUAACUUCUGACUUCACAUAAUCAAUGGAAAAUAUUCCAUCUCUCAGCAGCUGCUUUAUUACAUCAUGUCUCAAUUUCAUGUGUCCACUUUUACAAUUAUAAGAUUUAUUUGUUGAUAUAGCUAUUUCCGCUUGACAAUCACAGUGUAUAGAUACAGGAGGCAAUACAUCCUUUAUUAAAGGGAUAUUGGCUAAGAAUUUUCUUAGCCACUCAGCCUGAGUACCAGCUAACUCAAAAGCUACACUCUGAUUCCAUAGUCGAUCUAGCAAUGAUCGUCUCUUUAGCUGAUUUCCACGAUAUUGCACCACCACCAAGGGUGAAUACAUAUUCAUAGUGAAUUUUGUCGCAUCUGAAUCAGAGAUCCAGUUUGCAUCACUAUACCCUUCUAAAGUAGAAGGAAAUCCACUAUAUAGGAUACCAUAAUUCAUGGUUCAUCUCAAAUAUUUCAUAAGUCUCUCUAAUGCAGACCAAUACUCUUUGUUGGGAUUACGAGUAUAUCUUCUCAGUCUACACACAGCAUAGGCUAUAUCUGGCCUUGUAAAAUUCAUUAAAUGCAUCAGACUCCCAAUAAUUUGAGCAUAUUUAUACUGAGCGACCGGGUCUCCAUUAUUCUUUUUCAACUUAGAGUUAGCAUUAAAAGGACAUCUCACAGAUGAGACAUUAAAAUAUUCAAACUUCUUAAGUAGUCUCUCAACAUAAUGUUCUUGUGACAACAUUAUUCCAUCUUCACUCCUCAUAACAUUAACUCCCAAUAUUGUAUUUACUUCACCCAAAUCUUUCUUAUCAAAAUUAGAAGACAAGAAUAAUUUAGUACUUUGCACAAUAUUUAAACUUGUACCAAAUAUAAGCAUGUCAUCAACAUAUUGACGUAUUAUUACAUAAUCAUUGUCUACCACUUUAGAAUAAACACAUAUAUCCACCUCAACUGAAAGAAAAAUCGUCUCUUAGUAAGAGUUGUUCAAAUUUCUCAUACCAUUGCUUUGGAGCUUGUUUAAGGCCAUAAAGAAAUUUAAUUAAUUUACAAACUUUAUUUUCUUGUCCAGGAAUGACACAGCCUUCAGGUUGAACCAUAUAAAUUUCUUCUUCUAAAUCACUAUUUAGAAAAGCAAUUUUCACAUCCAUUUGGUUGAUAAAAACAUUACAGAUAGAAGCUAAGGCAAUUAAAACUCGAAUAGAAGAAAUUCUAGUCACUGGUGCAAUUGUAUCAAAAUAAUCUAGUAUAAAUCUCUUCUUCUAAAUCACCAUUUAGAAAAGCAGUUUUCACAUCUAUUUGGUGGACAAAAAGCUUACGGAUUGAAGCUAAGGCAAUUAAAAUUCGAAUAGAAGAAAUUCUAGCCACUGGNNNNNNNNNNNNNNNNNNNNNNNNNNNNNNNNNNNNNNNNNNNNNNNNNNNNNNNNNNNNNNNNNNNNNNNNNNNNNNNNNNNNNNNNNNNNNNNNNNNNNNNNNNNNNNNNNNNNNNNNNNNNNNNNNNNNNNNNNNACUUUUGCUACUAACCGAGCUUUAUAUUUAUCUAAAGAUCCAUCAGGAUUAAAUUUCCUUUUGAAAAUCCAUUUACAACCAAUGGGUUUUAUACCAGGAGGUAAUCAUUUAAAAUCCAUGUAUUAUUUUUCAUAAUGGAAUCAAUUUCAACUUUUAUUGCAUCUUUCCAAUAUUUAGCAUUUGAAGAAGAGAUUAAAAUCAUCUUCAUAAGAAAAAUAUUCUUUCCUAGGUCUUUUUCUCCUUCUCAGUUCCUCAUUAGAGGUAAUUUCAUUAUUUAUUUCAAUAGGUUUAUGAGAAAUUUCAUCAGAUAAUGGAUAAAUAUAAUCAAAGAACUCAGCAUUCUUUGUCUCAGUUAUAGUAUUGUAAUCCAGCACAUCACUUUUUAAAACAAGAAAACUAUAUGCAGCACUAUGUUCUGCAUAUCCAAUUAGCAUGCAAUCAACAGUUUUAGAACCUAUUUUUCUCUUUUUAGGUUCAGGCAAAAGAACUUUACCAAGGAACCCCCACACUUUUAAAUAUUUUAAGUUAGGUUUAUAACCCUUCCAAAAUUUAUAAGUAGAUUUGCAUGUUCUUCUAUGUGGUAUUCUAUUUUGUAAGUGACAUGCAGAUAAAAUAGCAUCACUCCACAAAUUAUCAGGAGCAUUAGAACUAACUAACAUUGAGUUCAUCAUCUCUUUCAAUGUUCUAAUUUUUCUUUCAGAUACUCCAUUUGACUCAUGUGAAUAAAGCGGAGUUAUUUCAUGAAUAAUUCCAUUACUUUCACACAAUUCAUUUAAAGAUAAAUAUUCUCCACCUCUAUCUAAUCUAAUUCUCUUGAUUUUUCUACUAAGUUGAUUUUCAACCUCAGUUUUAUAAAAAAUAAAAGUAUUAAAAGCAUAAUCUUUAUUUCCAAGCAAAUACAACUUAGUAUAUCAAUAAAAAUCAUCAAUAAAGGUCAUAUAAUAUCUUUUACCACCUCUAGUCAUAGUCUGUUUUAGAUCGCCUAAAUCGGUGUGAAUUAAAGAUAACAAUUCAGUUUCUCUAUUUACAGAAAAAUAAGUCUUUCUAGUACUUUUAGCUUCAGCACAUAUUUCACACUUGUUAAUUUCAUUUGAGUCUAAAUCAGAUAUUAAUCCUAGCGACUGCAUUUGUCCUAGUCUAGCAUGUCACAAAGAAAUUGACUCAACCAUAUGAGCAGAAGAUGCAUUUUCAUUGCUAGUAUCAAAAAUAUUAAGCACAAAUAAAUCAUGGUUACAAUAUCCAUUGCCCGCAACAAUUUAAUUUUUGGUCAGUACGACCUCAUUACUUUCAAAUGAAACCUUAUCUCCAACUUUUUCUAAUAACCCCACAGUAACCAAAUUGAUUUGGAUAUUAGGAACAUGCUAAUAUUAUCUGAGUCAAAAUAAGAUAUUAAUCCUAGUGACUGAAUUUUCUUUAUAUACGCGAUAUUAACAUGUCCUAGUCUAGCAUGCCACAAAGAAAUUGACUCAACCAUAUAAGCAGAAGAAGAUGCAUUUUCAUUGCUAGUAUCAGAAAUAUUAAGCACAAAUAAACCAUGGUUACAAAAUCCAUUGCCCACAACAAUUUUAUUUUUGGUCAAUAUGACCUCAUUAUUUUCAAAUUAAACCUUGACUCCAUUUUUUCCUAAUAACCCCACAGAAAUCAAAUUUGUUUGGAUAUUAGGAACAUGCAUACAUCACUUAAUGCUAGAGUUUUACCAGAUGUGAGCUUGAGAAGAAUUUUUCCUUUUCCAAGAAUGCGCGUUGUUCUUGAGUCACCAAGAUAAAUAAAUUCUUCUUCCUCCUCAACUUGGAUGUAAAACAAAAAUUUAUUUUUGUUUGCGCAAAUGUGCCUAGUAGCACCAGAGUCUACCACCCAAUUUCUCAUACUGGCAACAUUAUUUAUUUGGGAAAUGACCGUAAUAAUUAUAUUAUUAGCUUUAAUCAAAUUUAAUUUUAACAUAGCAAGAUUGUCAUUUAUCUCAACUCUACUACUACAUUGAGGUGCAUUUUUCUUGAAGGUUUUAAUAUUAGCAUUAGAUAUGUAACCAUGUCUGUUCACAUACCUAUGUUUGGACAUUAGUAUUUGCCAAAUUUGUCGAUGCAAUGACGUAUUUGCAACACCAUGGAUAUCUGGCAAGACAGACGGAAUAAUAGCAGUAGAGAUAACACUAGAAUUGGUAGCACCAUCAAAAAAUUCCGUAGUAUUAUUGCUUGCCAUAGUUUCUUAGACUGUAGGGAAAUGACAUCGAAAAAUAACAACAAUUAUAAUACUACAAUAAUAUUAUUUAUGAGCGGAAAUACUCCAACUGGCUUGAGUCGUGCUAGGCACUGUCCUAAGAAACUAUCUCAGCAAUGUGAAAUGUUUCCCCAGGAUUAAACAAGUCUACCUCUAUUUUAUUUAGAGGAUACAUGAAUCAGCAAAAUUAGAUAAUAAAUCCACCAAUUUAGAAGAGAAAGAGCAACUAAUAUCUUAUGCCACUUAAAAUAUUAUAGAAUAAGAAAUUAGAAGGAGUGGGACGUAUAUGAGAGAAAGAAGAAAGAAGAAUUUCUUCUUUGCUAAUGAUUAGCUUUUUUAGUAUUUUAUGAUUGAAUAUUAAUGGCCUAAUCAUGGCUAUUUAUAGGCCUAAUGAAAGCUUCUUAGAUUGCCAUUUGUUUGAUUGCAUGAAGGAUGAUUGCCAUUUGUCCUUAGUUUCUAGAAAGCUUGCCAUAUGUAAAAUUCUCUACAUGCAUAUUGGAACUUAGACUUAUUUAUAUUAAAAAUACUACUACAUGAGGGUCUGUUCCGACGGGUUUGGGUCGAAACAUUUCUUCUUGAGGAAGAAGAACAAGGGGGGGGGGGGG
rnacentral:lncRNA from 1 species